CCACUUCAAACUCAAACAAAUUCAUCAAAAAAAUUGCAAAAAAAUACCCAAAUAGGAUUCAAAUUUAAAAUGUUACCUACCCAAGAUCGAGGCAUUUACAAAUUAAACAGUAUACCAAAUGGGCCAGAAGCACCCCAAUUGACUGAAACACCCAGAAUCAAAUAGCAUGGAAACUAUCUGCCUUAGGGUUUCAAGAAAAAUGGGGAAAAAGUGCUCCAAAACCCAAAAGGAAAACAGAGCAAUGCCUCAGAAAACCCAGGUGGGAGGAGAGGAGGGUUUCAGAAGGAAAACCCUAAAGAGACCCUCCCCGAUGGAGUUUUUCACUAUUGCGCAGCUAUGACUCAAAACGCUUCCAUGGGUAAAAAGGGAAGGCGAUCUUAAGGGCCACGCUUAACAAGAACAAAUAGAAAUUGCAGAACAAGCAUUUAGACUAAAAGUUGCGGAAUUUGAAUGGAAGAAAAACCAGAAAACCCUAAUGCCCGAGGAAUAAGAGGAGGCAGAUGGAGAGCAGAAGGUGGGAAUAUAUAGGGGAUGCGGUGUGUGUUGGUUGGGCUUUUUGGUUGUGAGUAGCAGAAGACCCAAAGACUUGGAAUUUGCGUGAGGCCCAAAAUGUUAUAAUUUCAACUUUUGUUGGGAUGAGAUGUUAGAGAUUUUGGGCCAAACAAGUUUAGAAUUUCAUUUGAAGUCGGUGGUGCCAGCCCAAUUAUCAUCAAUAGCUUAAAGAAUAAUAUGAAUGUUAGGCACUUCAACGAGAAAUUUAUUAGCGUGCCUAAAACACGGUCUAGUACAUCAAAUCUUAAUACAAGUGGUUGAAUAUUUGAAAAAAAAUUUCAACUACUUGUAUUAUGAUACUGCUGUACCGGACUGUGUUCCCAGCAUACUAAAGAGUCUCUCCACUUCAACAUACUAAAGUAUACGGCUAAGGAGAUUGUCAAUAACGGUUUCCUAAUUUUAUUUUAAGCAAAACUCUUAACAAAGUAAUCCGCCACUUAGUACUACGGUCUAAUGAUAUUCCUCUUUCACUUGUGAGUGAGAGGUCUUAGGUUUGAUUCUCACAAAAGGCAAAUUUGAACCACAUUAUUGCUAACCCAUUGUAAGACUAAACCCACCCCCUCUCCUUAUUGUAAAUAAUAUCGUUUGUAAUAAAAAAAAAAUGCGAGUUUAAACUAGCUAGCAUUCAAUCAGAUAAAAAAAAAGUAUUUAUCAAAUAUAUCCAAAUAUUAGUCUCUAAUUUCAAAAAUGUCUGUUUUUAUAAAAACUUUCAAAUAUAUCCAAAAUAUCACUUAAAUAGACACAAAUACCCUUAAGUUUUAAACCUAAUAAAUUAAAAAACCAAAUGUCACAUCCCGGGUUCAACUCCGUCGUAGCACAAUAUUGUCCGCUUUAGGCCCUGACCACGCCCUCACGGUUUUGUUUCUGGGAACUCACACGAGAACUUCUCAGUGGGUCACCCAUCAUGGGAUUGCUCUCACGCGAACUUGCUUAACUUCGGAGUUCCGAUGGAACCCUAAGCCAAUGAGCUCCCAAAAGGCCUCGAAUAAAUUUGAAGUUCCCAGAAAUUGUUUUAAAUGAAAUGUGAUUGAAAUGUCAUGCCAUACUUGCGUUAUAUCUUAGAAUAUGCAUUUAGUAGUUGUGUAUGUUAUUGUUUGAUGCGGCAGACGCUCAGCUAAGUUCCAGGUGAGUAUAUGUAUUGAUGAUUGUGUUGCAUUGUAAUGGUUAUACUUAGAGGCAGUUAGAGUUCAUUAUCCUGCACCCCAGUGUUACUGCUCCUGCCCGUGGUCAGGACACAGUCCUUCACGUGAUGUUCACCUCCCGCACCGCACGCUCACCUUGGAUCCAAGUUUGGUGCAUAGCCAUGUCGUACAUACCAGGUGAAAUAGCUUAGUUGUUUACUCUAAGUCUGCCAACAAUAGCCAAAAUUUAACACUCACUUUCAUAAAUUUCACUUUUUAUAAAAUCUUUCAAAUAUAACAGAAAAUUCACAUGAAUAAACCUAAAUGCCCUCAAAAUCCAAAACUCAUUUACACAGAAAAACCAAAACAAUUGAAUAGAUCUCAUCUACAUCUUUGUUUGAGAAACUAUCAUCCCCUAUGAUGACCGGAUACUUUACUUUGGUUGCAUAUCCCGUAUCCGAUACUUUUCGGAAAUGAUACUUGCUGGAUACUCUCAGAUACUUGUUGGAUACAUCAUGGUUAAUGGAUACACUUUGACUGGACGGAUACACGUAUCCCACAUUUGGGAUACAAGUAUCAUGCUUUUAGAAUCCUUUUACACGUUCAAAUAAAAAAUUGGAAAGAAAAAAUUAAUAAGAGACAAAUCUUUAUUUGAAAUCAGUGAAUAUGAAUUAUGAAGAGCAACCUCCAAUUGAAACUAUGAAUACAACUGUCAUCCUUCUUUUAUAUGUACUAGGGGAAUUAGAUUUCCAACUUUUCUUCUCCAAUAAAUCAAAUGAACUUGAAUUUGAAUGAUCUUGUGUUAUCAAAAUAUGUUCUAAAUUAUAUUUUUGUCUUUGUUUAUUAUUAUAUAAGUUUAAUUGCCGUAUCUAUUGUGUAUCGUAUCCUACUUUUUAGAGAUUUUUUGUAUCACCGUGUCGUGUCGUGUCGUGUCGUAUCGUAUCGUAUCACCGUAUCUGUGUCCGUGUUUUACAGAUCAUCCCCAAAUUUCAACCUCUUUUUGAUGUUGAGUUGGGCAAUAAUUUGGGGAGCUAGGAACUCAAUGUUUUGAAAUGGAAAGAUGGAAGCCCCGAACAUCCUUGUAUCCUGUACCACCUCCCUAUGGUUUGGUUUUGUCCACAGCAACUCAAACUCCUCCAAGCCUAGACCCUUUACUCUUUUGUUUUGUCUCAGCUUUGGACUCUGAAUUUUCAUUGGCAUAAGAAUUUUUGUCGAUAAUACUACUACGGUCCUGACAUUUUUGCUCGCGUUGUUUCUUGUACUCCUCUUUUAAGUCUUUCUUUUCUUCUCUUCUUGGUGACAUGGAGUUUCUCAAUUCUGAUCUAAUAAGAUGUUGUCUCUUAUGUUUAUUUGGUUUUAAUUAUAAGGGUAUUUAUGUCUAUUUAAGUGGUUUUUCUGCUAUAUUUGAAAGAAUUUAUAAAAAAUGACAUUUAUGAAAUUGAGUGUUAAAUUUUAUCUAUUAUUGAUCAAUUCUCCAAUUUUUUCCCUUAAUGUAAGACUGCCGACAAUAGCUUAGUUGUUUGACUUGAAAUUAUCUGACUGAGAUGUUCAAUUCCACACUUGUUUUACUAAUUAUUAUAUAUGACUAAUUAACCUAAUUAGAAAUAUUAUUUUUGAGUUGAUUAAGGAAAAGGGCGAAUGUCCUCGAAAUUUCCCAAGUAAUUAACAAAUUAAAAUAGAACGAAUUAAAUUAAGGUCAACAUUCUGUUAUGUAGAGGUCAAUCGUGCGAUUAAUUUUUCAUUUCCCGUGUCGUAUUCCUAAUGAUGCAGUCCUCACAUCAAUUUAGUCAGAAAGUAAACGAUGACCAAUUUUUUUAGCUGCAACAACUGAUCACCAAGUCUGUUUAUUUUAUUUUAUUUUUUAUUUUGAACAAAAAGACAUAACUGAUGAUCAAGUCUUGAAAAUAAAAAAAGAAAAAAAUUCGAAAUAAAACAGAAGUGUACGUAGUAUUAUCGAUAUAUUUAAUUUUUGAUCGUCGGAUCGAAUGAAUUGAAGAAGAUUAAUGACAAAAAUUAAUAAAGACGUGUAGAAACUAAAAAUAAGUGUGAAUGUAGCACUAUUUAAACAGAAAUGCAUGCAUGCAUGCAUUGUCCUAUAUGAAUUUUCCAGGGUUGGGAGUGUUGAUAUUUGACGUCAGGGCAUUCACAUAACUUGAAUUUCUAAACGCGUUCUUCACAUGUUUGGAUGACUGGGUCGUUUGACACAUAAAAUAGGUUAUUAGUCCCUCAAGGGAGAGUAUGUAAUAAUUCAAAACUGAUAAAUAAUAAUAAGUGAGGCUUAUAAUAUCAUAAAUUGUGUGAUACUGUAAAAAUGCCACCCUAAGUUAUACAGUUGAAAUCAAACCAAUUUUUAUACAGUUGAAAUCAAACUAAUUUUAUAACUUUAUAGCUCGUUCAGAAGUAUUUUUAAAACAACUGAAAUCACUUUUAGACAAAAUAUUUUUUGAGUUGUAAAAGUACUUAAAAUGCUUAUUACAUCACCAAAAAUGCUUUGGUCAUUUUAAAAGCAUUUCCAAACGAGCCCUUAGGGAUGUUAUUACUUAAUAAAUGUGUAGUUAAAAAUAUUAUUCCUUGACCUAUUUAUCCGUAAGAAUAUUGUUCCUAAAUACGAUUUCUUGAGCGCCAAAUAUUUUAUUUCUUGCAUAUUUUUGUACUCACUGACAAUCAUAAAUAUGUGGAGGUGUGUUUCCUUAAGAUGAGAUCAAGAAAAAUUAUAAUUUAUUAUGGAGUUUAUUUCAAUACAUAAUUGGUCCCAAGUUGAAACCAAAAUUUUUUAUGACUUGAAAAUUAUUCCAUUAUAGAGUAUUACUUUAGAGAGGUUUUACUAUAUAACUAAUUAGUGAAUUAAUCAUGCAUGGCCUCGUGCUAUUAGUAAAGAAAUUAUUUAUUUAUAGGUAGUAAUUUAUUUUUGUCAAAUUCAUCUAAGAAGCACGUAGACAAUUAGGCUGAGGUACGGGUAUUUCGCUCUCUUUAAGGAGAUUCAAGCCCACUGCGGUUUGACAAAAGUUCACGAAUCGGUGUAGCAGUAUAUCUCUUGACUUGCCCCGUCCAGGAUACAAAUAAAGAAGAGUCCAAAGCUCCACCACAAGAAUACCCUUCUUUGGCCAAUAUGUAAAAGAUAGAAAGUAUGGAGGAAUAAAGAAUGUAGUUGUGAGGAAAUUGGUAGUGGGAUCAUAAAUAAAAAGAUAAUGGGAAAAAUGCUAAUAAUUAUAUGUUUAUUAUUAAAUUAACAAAGAAAAAAUGUUACAAGAGUUACAAAAGUUGAAAGGCUAAAGAUUCGGAAAGGGAUCAUCUUCGGAUUCCUUCCACCAAAUCCACCAAAUCAUCCAAUCUAGGUCAUUGAAAUUUGAUCAAAUAGCUAAAUGUAUAUUAACUUUUAAAUGGGCCUCAUGUGUUUAGUCGUUUGAUCAAAUUUGAAGGGUCAAGAUUUGUUGACUGGAUGGAUUUGGUGGAAGUGAUUCGGAGAGGAUUCAUUUCCUAAAGAUUCCAUCUUAAUUUCCCACUAACCACGAAUAAUGACAAAUAAACUUACUUUUCCACUAACAACCAAACAAUAACAAUUAUAAUUAAUUUAAUAUUAAAAAUGAACCAACAUAAUGUUUAUAAAACAUAAAUCUAAUUUACACACACACACAUCAUCCAUGCGCUAAUUUUCUCCACAAAUGAAUGAAAUUAAGUAUUUGUCCUUGAAUUCCAGAAGUUCAUAAAAUAGCACAUAUCUAAAAUUGAAAAUUGAAACAUAUCGAUAUCAAGUCGUGUGGAAGCUAAACAAAAUCAACUUGCAGAUUUACAGCAUAAUUACAUAACUCUCUUUUUCAAGACAUUUGAGCGUGGUCUAUGUCCAGUACAAAUCUAAUCUAAUAUGAUCCCUUUGAAUUUUUUAAUUUCCUAUUUUCACAAUUCGCUCUUUCGUUGCUUUCCGGGGCCCAUUUAAGUGAUGUGUGCGGUACAAACUAUCAAUCAGGUAGGCUCGGAACUAUUCAUUCCCUUCUUCGAAUAUGUCAUUGCGCGUGAACUGAUAUCUGCAUUUUGCAGCCUUAAAUUGCAGACAAGGAAAGAAGAUAUAUAUGACAUCAUAAGUUUUUGUUGACUUCUUUUGUUGACUACUUUGUGACUCAUGCAUUGACUAAUUGCAAAUAUAAAGAGUCUGUUGUUUCUCAGAAACCAAACUACGUAUCUAUCGCCUAAACAUGCAAUCAUAUGGGGCCACGAGUAUUUAAAAUUGGCAUUUUCUUCAGAUCCCGCGUUUCUUCUCUUAGAGAGACUUUCCAAUGUGCCAUCGGAACAUGGGCAUGUAAUUUAUUUAUCAUUAUACAAGUGAAUGAACACUUGAAUAAAAGAAUUUUUCUCCACUUGUAUAAUGACGUAUUGCAUUGUAUAUCAGACACAUUGAACCACAUUAUUGAUAGCUCAUUGUGAGGUUUAGCUCACUCCCUCACCCCUUUAGUGUAGAUAAUAUCAUUUGUUCAAAAAAAAAAAACAUGAUAGAGAGAGAAAAGAAGAUUGUGAAAAUGACUUCAAUAUUAAUUAGGGUUAAGUCAAUCAAUAUUUUAUGCUCUUAAGGAGAUGUAAAUAAAGACCCUAACAAAAAGAAGAUGUUAAUAAAGAGAAAUAUUAGAAAGGGAUACUGACUUUAGUUGGAGAGAAAAUCUGUUUUUAUUACCUUAGUUGAAGAGAAUAAUUGUUUCAGUUGACCUACACUAGAAAGUGAAAAUCUAUCAAUUUAUACUGAAGUAUGAGAUUAUUUAUUGAUCAAGCUAAACCAAAUUCCUUCUCUUUUUUACUUUAUAGAAGGUCGCGAGUUAAUUAGCAUUGCCAUAGAUAUAACAUGAUUAAAGAACAUCUUUAAAAUACAUAUAGAUUAUUUAUUCGUAAUUUCGUAUGUGUAAUAAAUAUAAAAUACUAAAAAAUCAUCUUUUUAAAUCACAAUUAUAAACCACUUUAUGUGGCAUGUCUCGUUAUCAUUGCUUCACUUAUCAAUUCAUGUGAGGUCGUUAUAUAUUAAACUUAAUCUGCCUAGCUAGCCACAUUUGUAAUAUUAGGCAGAAAUAUACAUCUUCACGUAUUUGCAUGUCAUGACUAAAACUUGUUGCCCAAAGUCGGCAGAGGAAGGAGUGGGGACCUGAUGGCGCCACUCGCUACUGUAAGGAAAGCAGCCCUUCGUUUCUUUUGUCAGAUCGUUAGGGAAAGCAGCCCUUCGUAUCUUUUCCCAGUUCGAAGCUUCGUAUCUUCCAAACAUUUCUAUAUGCGCGUUUCUUUAUUUUCUUCCGAGGUCAAAUUUGGAAAUGCUUCUGCGUUGUUGUGGUCUUAAUUUUUCAUUUUUAUGAUAUUUCGAUUGUUUGAAUGACUGAAAGACAAUAUUGGAGAAACAAACUAACAAAGGGUUCAUGGAAAAUAUUUUUCUUCCCUUUCCCUCUUUUGGUAAAGGAGGAAAAAGGGUUAGUUCGGUUGUUUAAACACAGAGGAAUGAAAAAUGUUGGGUUCCACAUUAGGUAUAUAACAAAGUAAUGUGCAAUUAGUACAUGAAAGAUUUUACUCCUAAUAUCAUCGAGACACUUUGUGAUAUAAAUCUAACACCUGAUAAUAGGUGGUUAAGUUGGAAAAAUGCCCGUGAUAUUAGUGGUGGAUCAUGAUGGACCUAAAAUGUUUAUCAAGAAAUUGGGAGAAGUUAGUGUGUGUUUUCUUUCUCAUUAACUUAAUUAUAUAUUAGAGCUACUUGGAGACUCGGAGACUAAGCAAGUUAUUACAUAAUAAUCCUAAGAGGACAACCACAUGAUUAAUAAUAAUAUCUACAAAUAAAUGUAAAGGAUCAAGGAAGAAGCUAGUUGGUAUGUUUUGUUGGAAUGUAAACAGAAGAAGAUUUACUCCGAGUAACAAGUAAAACCAUGCCAUGUAUGAACUAUUGGACAGUUAAGUUUUGUCCAUGUUCUGAAGACAUUUCAGCGUGGUCUCCAAGAAACACUAAAGUUUUAAUCUAUUGCGCGUGAAAUCGUAUGUGAUUGCCACGGUAGUCCUUCUCAUAAACCGAACAUAUUUUUUUUUAAUCUAAAGUUUUAAUCAUGACUAAUUGACUUUAGUCCUUCUCAUAAACCGAACAUAUUUUUUUUUUUUUUGAAAGGAUAAACCGAACAUAUUUUUAUACAAUCUCUCUAACCUUCUUUUACGAUUGAAAAUUCAAACUCAGACUCGAUCAAAUAUUUGGGGGGCCACGCGUCAAUUGGUUUCAUCUUAAGCAUGCGCCCGAAUCUUUUCGAUAGAUUUUGUAAUGUCGGUGAGGUAGCCGAAUAUCGAUUUAUUCAUUAUGUUUGUUUAUUUGCCUUAUACUGUUAGUGUCACCGAAUAAAAUGUACUCAUGUUACACUCAUUGAAACGAACGGUUUACUCAUUAUGUUUGUUUAAUUGCCUUCAAAUCAAGAUACCAUUUAUGUCACCGAAUAAAAUAUAGGAACCGGAUCCUCUUCGGAUCCUAUGGAACUGAGCCCAAGGAUCAAAUGAUCCAGGCCAUUGAAAUUUGAUUUAAAUGUUACAAUUAUUAUAACUUUUAGAGGGACCUCCUGUUUAUAACCGUUGAAUCAAAUUUCAAUGGUCCGGAUCAUUUAAUCAUUAGGCUUAAAUUUUUUGGGUCCGAAAGGGAUCCGGUUCCUAAAAUAUACUCAUAUUGCACUCAUUGAAAUGAGCAGUUUACUCAUUAUGUUUGUUUAAUUGCCUUCAAAUCAAGAUACCGUAUAUGUUACCGAAUAAAAUAUACUCAUAUUGCACUUAUUGAUCAGUAAAAAAUAUUUGUCGCUUCUUGGUAAUAAAAAAUUCCUCGUUGCUUUUGUUGCCUAAAUAACUAACGAAUUAAUUUAUUACAAUUUAUUUGUUAAGAAUUGAUAGGCAGUGGCACUACUGUCAUGCAAUUGAUCAGCACAACUAGGCCUAGCUUUUCGAAGCAGUCCAUAUGCAACUUCCUUUACUUUAUAUGAUAAAUAAUGCAUGCAGAUCGGGAAAUUGAAAUUUCAUUAAAAGUUAUUUGUGUAUAAAGAGAGUAAUUUAACCCUUUAUUAAUUUUUAUAAAGUUUCUUGGAUAAUUCUUUACAUUCUCACACGCCACCUUAUAUGUGAUAACGUUCAUGCCAAACAUCCGUACAACAUAUAUUGGAUAACAUGAAGUGAAACACAUAUGCUUGUUGAACUUCACACGUAAACUAACCUGUUAUGUUACAAUCACUGUUUUAUGUUACACUCUAAAACUAAUUUGACAAUGAAAAGAAUAACUCAAUUUCAUGUUUCUUUUAACUUUUCAACGUGACAUCUUCUUAUAAUGGUUGUGUUCACUUGCAAUGAUAGGUGACCGUUGUGCAAGCACAUGAAGGAACCAAGGAAGUUGCUAAUGAAAUUUCAAAGAACUAGCUAGCAAAUGAUCAUCACAGUCCAAAAACUUUUGUAUUCCUGUGAUUUUAAAUUAUUUUUGUUCUCCUCCUUUUUCGAGUAAAGGAGGAAAAAGAAGGUGAGAGAUUCGAUUUUUUUUAAAGGAAAAAGGAAAAGUAAUAUGGCAUAUUAGAGAAAUUAGGGUUCGUGGUUGGUAUUUGCAGAUGUUUUUGUUUUAUAAGACUAACGCGAACUCAAAAGUAUUGUAAAACACGGAGCAUGAUAAGAAGGUUAGAAACUCAGUUCAAAUUUGUGCUUGAGUUUAGAGAGUGUCUUAUUCCUCGAACGUGUUGAUCAAUAAAGAAGUUUACACUUCGUGUUGAUUAAGUGGUAAAGGCUUCAGAGCCGGUACUGAUCCAUCGUUGAUGUAGGAUUAAUUGUUUUCUUUCUUUUGUCCGGCACAAACCAAGAAAUGGCCUCUCCAAUGCAGAAAUGGUCGCUAGGGGUCAGGCGAAAAUGAUAAUAUAUAUCAUUGUUUUGUAUAAGAAUUAGAGGGUUAAACGAAAAAUAAACACACAUAUGGUAAGAGAUAACUUGGUACGUAAUUUCCACGACUUACCCAAGAGUUAGGCCAUCCACUGCCACUAGACCACCACGGCCAGGUCGAAUUGCUGCUUGUUGCACCACCAGGGGCCAUUGCGCUGGCUUCUUUGCACUGAUCACACAACAAAUGGCCUCUUUAGCGAGGAACGUGUUAGCAGUAAAAGUAGGAAAUUCGUCGGAUAAGAAUUUUGCCGAUUCCUUUCUCGCUAGGUUGUCAAUGGCUCGAUAUAGGACCAAUGUGAAGUCUAGGCCGAGGCACUUUUUGAUAAAAAAUUCUACGCCGAGGAAAAUAUUUUUAUCAUAAAGUAAUCGGUAGUGACGAGACAAAUCUUUCUCGGCAUAUAAUUUUUUGUCAGAUCUUUGGGAAUUAUGUUGUGUUUUACAUGACUACAUCGUUAUUAAACAUGGAAAAUGACACUUGGAAAACAAAUUCAAAUUUGUGCUUUAGAAUUUAGAAGACAACAAAAAGUCGUAUUCCUUUCACUUAAUUACGUAAAAUUUGAAGCACGCAAUGAUAGAUUAUUCAAGAAAAAAGAAAAACUUAUAAUUGAUAACCUUCACAUGGUCAGCUUUACACAUUGUGCCUUCACAUUUCAACUUUCCAUCUCGCUACUCUCUCCAUUCUUUUUCAGGUGCUCUGACGUUUAUCGGUUGAUUGGAUAAAUUGUUGCACUAUCUUCUCUUCCAUAUAUGUUGGGUUUUCUCACAUUUAUCGCUAAGAAAAUCAGGUGAGAAAUUGUUUGGCAAACUGUGUGUUGAUCAUAUGUUGGGAUAUCUUGGUGGGAUUCAUGUCCCAAUUGCAGCUUUUGCUCAUAGUCUUUCGGAGCUCCCAAAUUUUCAUUUCUCUUAGAAGUUCUCUUAAUUGAUUUUUUUUUUGUAAUAAUUUUCUACUUCUUGUUAAGGUUUGGCUUCAUAUCCCCUCUAACUUAUUGUAUCUUUACUUUUUUUUCUUCAAUAUAUAUUCAUAAUAAUGUCUUUUUCCUUGAUAGCAAUGCCGAAAUGAAUGUGACAUCAUUGUUUUAAUUAUUAAAAUUAAAAAAUAAAAAAUAAACUGGAGAAGAUGUGAAUUAUUAGUCAGAGAUGCUAGUCGAGUAAAUAGGUUGACUAUCAUAUUCAUGCAUGUAAAUAAAAAUCAUUCGGCCAAACUCUGUUACCAUAGACGGUUUACCAAAAAAAUAAAAAAUAAAAAAAAACUCUGUUACCCUAGACGACUGAUUGGUUGGAACAUUGGAAAUUUCAUACUUAGCCGUAUUUGUGUAGAUUUUCCCUCCCUCUCCAACCAAUUAAAUCUCUCCCAGCUCAACCAAUCAAGAGGGCUCUUGAAAUGUUGCUAUAAUUACUUUAUAUUAAUAUGUAGUAAUUUUCUCGUACAAUUAAACAGAUAAUUUAAAAUGCAAUGUUAAGCAUUAUGCAAAUCCAAAAAUACAAUAUUGUAUUGAUCCAAUAACUAAAAAGUUAUACUAUUGCCUCGUGGUUAGGUUCUUUUUCUUCAACUCACUACAGUUUGGGUUCAAACUAUCCCUCUCCCAUAUAUAGACGGAAUUCAAAGCGGUUCAAAUCAACUAAAUUGUGCUGGUACGAGAGCAUCAUGUUGUGACACCAUGUAAAUUUACUCCACAUCCUUAUCUCUGAUGCUUUCUUCCAUGCCUUAUCUGAGUACACGAUUUAAAAAAUGGUCUAACGAUUAAUAUAUGCUAAUCGUCUUGAGAAGAAUUAAAAAGGAUAAACGCAAAUAGUAUAACAGCGGUGCAGUGUAAAGACCCUAGAGACUGUCGCACAGGAACAUGCCAUAUACAUGACUAUUGACUGAUUCCAAGAAUUCAAGAUGAGGGACAAGGGUUUUCUUCGUCCACAAGCGCGUGGAAAUUUCCAAGCAACUCAAAAAUUUGUCUUUCCUUUCUCCUUUCACUCGGCCUCCUUUUUGCUCGAUCAUUUGGCUAACACAGGCCAUUCCAUAAUCAUCUGCUCUAUAUUUAAUGUUUGAAACCUACGUAACUGAAAAACAACAAAUUAGUACCACAUAGAAACUUGAACUAGCUACUAGCCUUGAGCUAUUCCUAUUUAUUUGGGUAGCUGGUAGUAGCUAGUGUUAUUAGGGUUAGGGUAGAGGGAGGGAGAUCGAGAGACAGAUACAAUGGAGGAUUUACCACCUGGAUUUAGAUUCUCUCCAACAGAGGAAGAGCUGAUUUCGUUUUACCUGCAGAAAAAACUUGAUGGGAGGAGUGAGGACUUGAACCGAGUUGUGGAUCGAAUCAUACCCGUUGUCUACAUUUACGAGUUUAAUCCAUGGGAACUCCCACGUAAUUCAACAUCUCUCUCUCUCUCUCUCUCUCCCUCCCUCCCUCCCCCUUCCCCCUCCCUCCCUCCCUCCCUCUUUAAUUGUUGGAUUUAUGCUAGCUUCGGGCUUGCUUAACUCUAGGAAAAUGUUGGUUUUAGUGUACUGAAUAUACAUUUGAUAAUUUUAACAUGAAAAAUCCAUAUGAUGCAUACUUAAAAUUAUGAGGCCAAUAUGCAAGUCUCAAUCAGAUUUUCCCUCUUUUGAGACAAUUGAUAGACCAAGAAAAACGUGAUAUAUGAAGCUAGCUAAGCUUAAGAUGCAAUUUUAUGAAAGCAUUUAUUUAUACAUGCAUAUGCAGUGCUUCAACUAUUGUAUUUUAUAGUUGGGAAUAUACUUUACAUGUACUUUAAUUAAUUAUGGUUACUAAUUAAACAGAGGCUGCCGGAGAGGCGAUCCAUGGAGAUCCGGAGCAGUGGUUCUUUUUCAUCCCAAGACAAGAAAGUGAAGCUCGAGGAGGGAGACCGAGACGACUCACAACAACUGGGUAUUGGAAAGCAACAGGAUCUCCAAGCACUGUUUACUCUUCCAAUUCCAAUCACUAUCGUGCCAUCGGCCUCAAAAGAACCAUGGUUUUCUAUACUGGCAGAGCUCCCCAUGGAAAGAAAACGGAGUGGAAGAUGAAUGAAUACAAAGCCAUUGAAAUUCAUGCAGAUGAUAAUAAUCAACAAUCAAUGGCCGCCUCCUCAUCAAACCCUAGUACUCCUUCUACUCCCACGGUACGUACGUACUAAUUAAUUUCUUAGCUCAAACUUAACAUCGUUUUUUUUAAUUCACAAAUUCAAUUAUGUGCAACACAAUGAUCUAGGUUUUCUGACGACAUAGUUUGACGAAGAUCUACAUUUAUUGUCUGACGUUUAUGUGUUUGUGUAUAUGUAUAAUAUUCGAGAGAUUACAAGUGAAUGAUUUUGUCCAUCAGCUGCAAGUUGCACCAUAUAUAUUCAAAAAGCAUAUAUGUAUAUGUUCUAGAUUGGGCACACAAGAGGACAUUUAGUUAGUUUGUAGAACGACACCAACAAGGCCUGAACAUGUUAGUGGUACCACAAGGCCGCACAGUUUUUAAGCGACUUCUUUGAUGGCUAACGGCAUUGAGUUUUCAGUGCUGUUGAUUAGCAUCUAAACCAAUUUAAUUAACAAUACUUCAUAAUUCAUAUUAAUUAUUAUGUUGAUAUAUGUUGGCAUGUAUGCAUGCAGUUAAGGCAAGAAUUCAGCUUAUGCCGAGUAUACAAGAAAUCGAAAUGCCUUAGGGCAUUUGACAGGCGACCUCCAGGGAUUGAGAUCACAAGAAACCCUAACUUAAACAUUCAAGCAGCUCCUGCUCAGACUGCAGAUCAUCUGGAUCAGGGUUUGACAACAUCGAAUAGGAACCCUCAGAAUAUGGAAGGGAGAACAAACUCAAGCUCACCGGAGAGUUCAUCCUCAGGAGGACAUGGCUCUCAAUCCUCUCAACCAGAACAAAGUGGGACUUUGCCAAUGGCCGUUGAUAAUGAAGCUAUUUGGGAUUUGGAUCAAAUGAUAAAUUUUUUGCUUUAAGGGGUGGAUAGGAAGAAAGACUAAGGGGUAUUACCCCGUUAUCCAAAAUCCUUAAAUACAAUGUCUAGCUACUAAGAAAAUAAACUAGUGCGCGUGGAAUCAUAAUCACUCAUAUGUACUUAUGUAGGGUUUAAUCGCUCUAAGGUAGAGUUAAUUUGUACUGGAAUUGGGGACGAAAAGCCAAAUUCAAAGGCUAUUGUACUAGACAUGUCCUGAUCACAAACUUAACCUAUGCAUGUAUAUGUAUGUAUGUUAAUUUCCUGAUCACAAGCUGUAACAAACAAUUGGGUUCUUUAUCUGUUGUGCUUUCAUAUGUAUGUAUGUACGUUAAUUUCUUGGACUACUAUUCUGUAUAACCUUGGACGUUUGCAGAAGUGAUAUUAGAAUUUAUCACUUGUAUUGUUAUGCGUAGGUAAUUAAAUUUUUGAGCAUUGUUGUCAUUUGAAGGCUUAUUGAUACAUGUAAUUCACUAUUAACUUUAUGUAUCAACUGCACAAAACUGAUAUUUUUCAAUUAAAAGUUUGGUUCAAAUUUUUUUUGGUUCGAUCAUUUUUGCAUUUCUAGUUUUCCCAUGCAUUCCUCCAUUUUUUCUAACCUUUGAAUUGAUUAAUUUAAAAGAGAUUCAAAGGACAAAAACAAGAGGCGAAGUGCAAAGAAAGAGAAAAUGAGAGUGUAAAAAUCACUACUUUUUUUGUCUAUUGAGCAAUGUGUCAAACUCUUUCAAAAUGGUAUCAGGUGGAAUAUCCUGCGAUCAUAAAUUAAUGUAUGCUAGAUUGACUAGUCAAACUCAUCAGUCAACUAAGUACAUAUUUAUUAGUUAAGCAAACACAAAUCUAGCAACUAAACUUGGUUUACCACAGGUUAUCCUAGUCAGCAACUGCUCAGUUCGUUAUUCAUACUCAUGUAGUGUAAACUUAAGUGCAAACACGCAUCAAAUAACAAGCCAUAGAAUGCAUGUAUCAUAUGCUAAUUUUUUGUACCAUACUUGACCAAUCCCAAAACUACUGAGCACCGGUCAACGUUAUACCGUCAAGGACCAAGAAGAGUUUCCCUCCAACCAUGAUGCCAAUCACAGCGCGACACGUGUCAACAUCAGAAACCAAUCACAACACGACACGUGUCAAUGUCAGAAUGAAACUAAAAACUCUCUUCUAUAAAUAGAGAUCAUUCUCUUACAAUAUUUCUUAAUGUCAUUUGUACUAAAUUAUUCACUUGUACUCACUAAAGGAGAGCUUGAACCUAUGUACUUGUGUAAACCCUUCACAAUUAAUGAGAACUCCUCUACUCAAGGACGUAGCAAGUCUGGGUGAACCACGAACAUCUUGUGUUUGCUUAUCUGUCUCUAUCCAUUUACAUACCUAUCCACACUAGUGACCCGAGCAAUCUAGCGAAGGUCACAAACUUACCACUUUCUGUUGUACCAAAGUCCUCACUGAUUUUGUGCAUCAACACUUGGCGCCGUUUGUGGGAACGACACUUAUUCCCACUCUCUUUAGCUUUGUUAAGGUGGUUUCCACCAUUCCUACACUCUCUUUUGACUAGGCAUCCCUCUCUAACAUGGGGAGCGAAGGAAGUCACAGCACGUAGAAUGACACCUCUCUUGCACUUGGUGCGAGGCAACAAAAGAAGGAAGGAAAGAUGGUUGCUUUUCAAGCUAAAGUCGAUGAGCUAGAAGCUCAGAACAACAAGAUAACAAUGAAGAAUGAGGUCCUCCAGGAGCAGUAUGAGAAACUCUUUGAGACGCUCCACGAAACUAGGCGUAGUCAAACACGCGAGCUCGUUGCCUCUGUGGACAUUAACCAUCAUCUGGGUGCCUCCCAACACGGAGGGUCACCUCCAUUCGACAUAGGUAUCCCUGAUGAAGAGCGAGCUAAUCAUCAAAACAUUGAUCAACAUGAGACUUCUCUCAACCCAGAUGCUUCGACCCGAAGCAGGAGAAAUGGAGGAAGACAUCUCAUUGCAGAAGGGUUAGAAGGAUCAAAAGCCGUUUAUUGUGACUGCCGAGGCUUUCUAAAGUAACGUCGAGAGAAUCCCUUCCACAUAUGUUCGAAGGUUAAUGACCCAAGGGUAUCUGAAAGACUCAGUCUCAUCCCAUGACCUAGGCCAGCUGCCAAUCUAGGGAAGGAACGACAAGUCCCAGAGGAACAUGAAGGUACAUGAGACUCUGAGGUAUUCCGACAGACUCGCCCUAGAAGUCGGUACGGCGAGUCUGAGGAAAAACCACACGCCUUUGCUCAAACUUUCCUACUUCUUAGAGGCGACGAAGACUUACGAAAGAAAAUUCCAGUGGUACAUGACUCAACUCAGGACCCUCUUGUCUUACAACUCCUUGAGGAAGUAAACAAGUUGAAGGCCAAACGUCAGGCCGAGAUACCUGACUGGAACCAACCCAGGCCUGGCCCUCUCACAAGGAGGAUCAUCGACGCCCCCUUCAAGCGAAAACAAAGCAAAAACUUGGUUUAUAACUCUAUACUGGAAGGGAGAACCCAAUUAAACACCCUAACCUCUUUGAGUCCACCAUGGCAUAUCGGAUGCACACCGACGAAGAAUGAUGUUUUCUUUUCCCCUUCACCUUCUCUGGCGGAGCUCUAAAUUGGUAUUGCCGUCUUCCACCUGAGACAGUAGACUCAUUUGAGGAUUUGAGGAAACUGUUUGUCUCUUAACACAUCUUCCAGAUCGAUCGCUUGCAUUACGCAGAUGACUUGUACACUAUUUACCAGAAGCCGGAUGAGUCACUACGAGAGUAUGCCGGCCGCUUCAGCCAUGAGUAUUCUCGCUGCGUUAAGGCAGAUGAUAAAACCGCCCUCAAGGCCUUCACGGCAGGCUUACAUGAUUGUUUCUUCAAGUACAUAAUCAAUGCCAACACUUGGAAGACUUACUCUGAGGUGAUGGCACAGGCUUACAACCACGCUUUCACCGAAGUAAGGACAUACCAAAGGAACCCCCAUAUGAUUAACCCCUAUCAACAAGUGGGAAAUGGAAGUCAAGUUCAACCAAGUGAGAAGAUAUUGGCCAUUCAGACACCUAUUGCAUCAUCUCCUGCCUCAUUUAGCUACUCGCUAAGUCACCAAACGUAUCUGUCUCUUGGUAAGAGGAAGGAUUUUUACUCUCAGGAAGCCUAUUACAACAAGAGGGAUAAAAGUUCGUAUCAAGACAACUAGGGGUGAACGUACCGUCGACUAUUAUGACUAUGGGGCCAAGCCUCACUCUUUCAAAGUGGAGGGCUAGGUACUGAAGGAAAUGUUAUUAUAAGAAGGCAUACACAUUACAAAUGUUUUGACUCUCAACCGCUUGAGAUCUUUUGUCACACAAGCCAUUCGGCAAAUAUUUAAAGAAAAGGGAAUUCAGAUAACUUCUUCUGAGUCCUUUGCGUUCCUAGCACUGAAACACUUGGUCUACGCUGACCUACCCUUAUACUCCAACUCAGAGCUUCAACAUGCGUACUUUGACACAAAGUAUGUGAUACUAAGUGUUACAACCAACAUGGUUCACAUAUCAAAAGCAUGGAUCCCUUCAUGCAUAGCAAAACAUUCAUAAGCAUUACUCAUAUCAAUCAACAUAAACAUCAUACAUUCUAACACAUUCAUACAUAAACAUCAUACAUUCCAACACAUUCAUACAUAAACAUCAUACAUUAUAACACAUCCAUACAUAAGCAAACUGUGCUUUGAAAGGGUUCAACAUACUUUGUGUCAUUCGACACUUGCUACAAUGUGCCUAGACACUUUGCCCUUAUUCUCACUAACCAGGUGAUGAAAUGUAAAGAAGGAACUCAUCUUCAUGCCACCAACCAGGUGAUGAAAUGUACAACUCAUACUCUAAUAUCAUUUGGCAACUUGCCACUAAUGCCACCAACCAAGUGAUGAAAUGUACAACUCGUACUCUCAUUCAUGCCACCAACCAGGUGAUGAAACGUACAACCCGUACUCUAAUAUCAUUUGGCAACUUGCCAUUCAUGUCACCAACCAGGUGACGAAAUGUACAACCCGUACUCUCCUUCAUGCCACAACCAGGUGAUGAAAUGUACAACCGGUACUCUAAUAUCAUUUGGCAACUUACCACUCAUGCCACCUACCAGGUGAAUAAAGAACUUAUCUUCAUGCCACCAACCAGGUGAUGAAAUGUACAACUCGUACUCUCCUUCAUGCCACCAACUAGGUGAUGAAAUAUACAACCCGUACUCUAAUAUCAUUUGGUAACUUGCCAUUCAUGCCACCAACCAGGUGAAGAAGGAACUCAUCCUUGUGCCACAAACCAGGUGAUGAAAUGUGAUGAAAAGUGAUGAAGGAACUCACCUUCGUACCACCAACCAAGUGAUGAAAGUAACUCACCAUUCAUUCCACCUACCAGAAGACGAGUGGUACAACUUGUACAUGUGAACUCCUAGCAUUCACAAAUAAUAAAAAGCCCUCAAGUUUGACAACUCAACUAGGGGAGCACUUAUGCCCAACAAGAGUUAUAGUCACCAACAAAGUCUUAUUGCAAGCCAACAACAACUUCAGUGCAUGGCAUACGAAGAUCAAGCUAUUCAGUCCUCUUGCAUUUGUUUCAGACAUUUUCCCUUUGUAACAAUGCAAACACUACAACUCGUAGAAAGCUUCACACACUCUUGAUCAAGACAAUGUGAAGCAAAACCAAUUUAUGGUGCCAACAAGAGCUUCAUCAAAGGAGUUCAACCACAAUUCUCAAAAGUUUCGCACACUCUUGAUCAAGAGAGUGUGAAGCAAAACCAAUUCAUGGUGCCAACAAGAGCUUCAUCAAAGGAGGGCAACCACAAUUCUUAAAAGCUUCACACACUUUUGAUUAAGAAAAUGUGAAGUAAAACCAAUUUAUGGUGCCAAGAAGAGCUUCAUCAAAGGAGUUCAACCACAAUUCUCAAAAGCUUCACAUACUCUUGAUCAAGACAGUGUGAAGCAAAACUAAUUUAUGGUGCAAACAAGAACUUCAUCAAUAGAGGGCAACCACAAUUCUCAAAAGCUUCGCACACUCUUGAUCAAGACAGUGUGAAGCAAAACCAAUUUAUGGUGCCAACAAGAGCUUCAUCAAAGGAGUUCAACCACAAUUCUCAAAAGCUUCGCACACUCUUGAUCAAGACAGUGUAAAGCAAAACCAAUUUAUGGUGCCAACAAAAGCCUCAUCAAAGGAGUUCAACCAUAAUUCUCAAAAACUUCACACACUCUUAAUCAAGACAGUGUGAAGCAAAACCAAUUUAUGGUGCCAAUAAAAGCUUCAUCAAUGAAGGGCAAUUACAAUUCGUAGAAAGCUUCACACACUCUUGAUCAAGAUUGUUCGAAGCAAAUUCAAUUUAUAUGGUUCAUCCAAACCUUCGACUACUACAAGGUGUGGCUUGCAUCAUAAUCUCUUGCUCAACAGUGUGGAAGCAAAAUUUGUAUAUGUUGUCUCUCCCACAUUUUCAAAUUUCUAAUUUUUCCAAAAAAAAAAGGAAAUUGGGAAAUUCAGCAAAGCUUCACCAAUAAAAGCUUCAUCAAUGGAGGACAACUACAAAUUCUCAAAAGCUUCACACUAUCUUGAUCAAGAUAGUGUGAAGCAAAAUCAAUUCAUGGUACCCAACAAAAGCUUCAACUCCAAAACUUCACCUACAAAGCUUCAUCCACCACAAAAGCUUCACCCACAAAAGCUUCCCCCACCACAAAAGCUUCAUCCACGACAAAAGCUAUACCCAUAAAAGCUUCACCAACAAAAGUUUCACUCACAAAAGCUUCCCCCACCACGAAAGCUUCAUCCACCACAAAAGCUUUUCACCCACAAAAGCUUCCCCCACCACAAAAGCUUCACCCACAAAAGCUUCACCAACAAAAGCUUCCCCCACCACAAAAGCUUCACCAACAAAAGCUUCCCCCACCACAAAAGCUUCACAAAAGCUUCACCCACAAAAGCUUCACUCAUAAAUACUUCACCAACAAAAGCUUCCCCCACCACAAAAGCUUCACCCACCAUAAAUGCUUCACCCAUAAAAGCUUCACCCACCACAAAAGCUUCACCCACAAAAGUUUCACCCAUAAAAGCUUCCCCCACCACAAAAGCUUCACCCACCAUAAAUGCUUCACCCACCACAAAAACUUCACCCACAAAAGUUUCACCCAUAAAAGCUUCCCCCACCACAAAAGCUUCACCCAUAAAAGCUUCACCAACAAAAGUUUCUCUUACCACAAAAGCUUUACCCACCACAAAAGCUUCCCCCACCACAAAAGCUUCCCCCACCACAAAAGCUUCACCCACAAAAGUUUUACCCACCACAAAAGUUUCACCCAUAAAAGCUUCACCAACAAAAGCUUACCUACAAAAGCUUCCCCCACCAUAAAAGCUUCACCCACCACAAAAGCUUCAUCCAUAAAAACUUCACCAACAAAAGCUUCACCCACAAAAGCUUCCCCCACCACAAAAGCUACAAAAGCUUUACCCACAAAAGCUUCCCCCACCACAAAAGCUUCCCCCACAAAAGCUUCACCCAUAAAAGCUUCACCAACAAAAGCUUCACUCAUAAAAGAUUCAUCAACAAAAGCUUCACCCACCACAAAAGCCUCACUCAUAAAAACUUCACCAAUAAAAGUUUCACCCAUCACAAAAUCUUCACCUACAAAAGCUUCACCUACAAAGCUUCAACACAAAAGCUUCACCUACAAAAGCUUCACACUAUCUUGAUCAAUAUAGUGUGAAGCAAAAUCAAUUCAUGAUACCCAACAAAGUUUCAACCUCAAAACUUCACCUAUAAAGUUUAAUAUAUAUAUAUAUAUAUAUAUAUAUAUAUAUAUAUAUAUAUAUAUAUAUAUAUAUACAGAGAGCUUAAGGGGAGGGAUCCCCAUUUUUUGAAAAAAAUGGGGAUUAGGUGUGGGGCCCACUUCACAUCAAAUUUCAACGAUCCGAACCGUCUAUUUUGUUAGUCUCGAUUCAUAGAUCAUCCUUGCAAAAAUUCAAUUCAAUCCGAAACCAUUUGCCUAUUUAAUUAUCAAUAUCAAAUUUCAUAUAUUUUGUUAGUCUCGAUUCAUAGAUCAUCCUUGCAAAAAUUCAAUUCAAUCCGAAACCAUUUGCCUAUUUAAUUAUCAAUAUCAAAUUUCAUAUUUUCUUAUAUAACAAAGUAUUCGUUCAUUUCCUUGAACCCAAUUAGAUGUCUUAAACAUUUCCAAUUUAGCUAAUAUUUUGCAAGGAUGAUCUAUGAAUCGAGACUAACAAAAUAGACGGUUCAGAUCGUUGAAAUUAGAUGUGAAGUGGGCCCCACACCUAAUCCCCAUUUUUUUCAAAAAAUGGGGAUCCCUCCCCUUAAGCUCUGUGUGUGUGUAUAUAUAUAUAUAUUAGGAAAUUCAAAAAUUCAAAAAAUAAAAAAAUAAAAAAAUUGCCUAGGCCUAACAAUUUUCAUAACAAAUAUAUAUGAAUGAGGAGUUUUGGCUACCACUUAGAAAGGAAAAUGGUGAAAUUUUGUUACUUUGGAAACUUGGAUACUAGCAAGACACCUCAUUCGUCAACUCCCUCGAUCGGAUACUUGGGGGACUCCUACCAUAUGCUACUGCACCUUGAUACUCGGAAGUCUCACGACCACUCAGUGAUUUGGAUUUUUUCAAGUCUCCAACCGAGAAGUUUUCCUCACUCAGGAAAUUAAGAGAGCACUACCUCAACCUACAUGUUUCACUCACAAAGCUUCAACAUACAAGCUUCAACAAAAGGAAAAAUUCAAAGAACUUAGUGAAGAAGGCCUAGGUGUAUUUAACGCAAUACGUUGAAAUGAAGUAAAACUUGUUUAUUGAUAUAUUCGAUAAGUUACAAAUAUGUACAUAUACAUGAAUCAAACUAAACAAACAAGAGAGAGCCUUCACAAAUGUUGCUUAGGAGAAGUCUCAGCAAUCGGCAGAGCCCCAGAAAGAUGAGGCACCUGAGGGUGAUUAUUCGGAGUCUCAAUACUAGGCAGAACCCCAGAAGAAGGAGGCACCAAAGGUUGAUCAUUUGGAGCUUCAUUUCGCGGUACAGCCUCAGAAGACGAAGACAAUAAAUGCAUUUGGAACAAACCCACAAACCUCUGAUGAUCAAGUAAAAUCUGACCAUUAGAUUCCUACAGCUGGUUAAGCUUCAUCUUCAUGUUUGUAGCAUAAUCAUGUGCGAGCAUGUGCAACUAUUUAUUCUCAUGCUUGAGCCUUCUGAUAUUCUGUUUGAGAUUUAUCACUUCAGCCGCCAAUGAUUCAACUUGGCGGGUUCGAGCAUAUAGGCGUUGUGCCAUAUUAGAUACAGAACAUGCACACUAAACACUGAGAGCCGUAGAAUCAUUAACAGCCAACUCAUCAGACCGUUUGAAAAGUAGUAUGUUAUCUUUAGGAGUGAGAAGGUUUCUGGCCACCACCGCAGCAGUCAUAUCAUUUUUUAUCACAUAGUCCCCAAUGGUAAGAGGACCAGUAGGGAAUAAGAAUGAUGGGCGCCAUAUGUUGUCUUGAGAUGGCAUAAAUGCCUCUUCACCAAAGUUCAAGUCAAAAUGACGGUUGGAUGGGCUAGACAUUCUCAGAAAUGAUGAAGGAGAAAUGAGGUGUAAUAAAUCUCUUAAGUAAGGGGAAAAUUCCUAUAAGCAAUAACUCUCUGAAUGUACUUCUUACAUAUAAAUGGUGCCCUUAUAAAAGAAAGGGCAAUAGGGCCAUUGGUUAAAAAAUCGAAGAGGCACCACUCUCCGGAUUCCGAAGAGGCACCACUUUCCACACGAAACAUCAGCUCCUCGGGUACCACAGAUAACUUUGCCAAAGAUCUUUGAAAAAGUUUAGACACAUAAAUUUUGAAGAUCCAGCUACUUACUAUUACCCAUAAGGGUAAAGGAACAGCAUCACUGCUUGAUAACUAGAAAGUCCCAAUGUGUGUCAACCUCCGUGCUCCGUGGCAAGGCAGACUGGUAAAAAUGCCCAACCUUUACUCACAUUCGAGAAAACACUCCUAGCAAGAUUGCUUGCUCAAAAAUCGAAGAUGCACCGCUCUCCGAAUCUCGAGAGCCAGACUCCCAACAGGAUUACAUGUUCAAAAAUCGAAGAGGCACAACCCUCCGAAUCUCAAGAACCAGACUCCCAACAUGAUUACUUUCUUAAAAAUCGAAAAGACACUGCUCUCUGAAUCUCAAGAGUCAGACUCCCAAUAGGAUUGCUUUCUCAAAAAUCGAAGAGGCACCGUUAUCUGAAUCUCGAGAGCCAGAUCCUCGACAAGAUUGCUUGUUCGAAAAUCGAAUAGGCACCGCUCUCUGAACUUCGAGAGCCAGAUUUCCUUGGAUAAAGCUUGUCUGCAAUCUUCACACAUAACAUCAACUUUCCAGAUACCACAUACCACUUUUUCAAAGUGCUUUGACAAAGUUAAAUACGUAAAGCUUGCAGCUCCUACUACCUUAUUAUGACCAAGAAGGGUAAAGGAAUAGCACUACUAUUUGUUAUUAGGGAGACUCCUAUAUAUGUCGACCUCCAUCCUUCACAGCCAUGCAGACCGGCAAAUAAAAAAAUGCUCAACUUUUCUUCACAUUCGAAAGGGCAAUCUUAGCAGAGUCUCUCGAAAUACUCAGCUUCUUUUCCCCCCGAUAAUACUUCUGCAAACAAGCCAUACCAAAGCAAGAGUAUCUCAUUUCAUUAAAGUUAAAAGCAAGAGUAUCCCAUAUCAUGCUUUUUCCCUGUCUUUUCCUUUGGCCUUGUUUUUACCUGCAAGACAAGAAGAAAAGAGAGCAAUCAGUCAGCACUUGGAAUCAAGCUUCCAGUCAGGAACUGACUGCCUGGAACCCCUUGCCUGAUUACUUACCUGGCAUUACUCUCGAGUACUGAUUUUCAACAUCUUAUGCUUCCAGAGAAGAUACCACAUCUGCUUGAGGAACAAAUAAGGUAAGUGAGAAAGAUACAAGGAAGCAUGUGGAGACAAGCGUAACAGAACACGUGCCGAUAUAUCCACUACUUUAUCAACAGCAAAAGUAUCCCAUAUCAUUAGGGUCGAACGUACUCUAGAUUUGAUAGACUUGUUUUGACCCUCAAAUUCUUGCGUCGGCCUUAUACUCUGGAGGAAACCAGAAAACCCUCAAGCCCAGUUCAAGAAUAAGCAUGUGGAAAGUUACUUCUUCAAAAGAAAAAGUAUCUCAUAUCAUCUCUUCUCCAUUUGCUUCUCCUUAUCCUUGUUGCUAUUUAUGACACAAGGAGAGGAGAACAAUCAACCGGAAGCUGAAGUCGAACCUCCGAUCCAAGUUGCUUGCUUGGAAGCCUGAUUGCUUACCUUGUCUGUUACCUCAUUCGGCAAAUCUCCUAGCUCGGUGACUUGGGGGACUCCUACUAUAGGGUUUGUAUCGCACUUGACCAAGCCCGAAACUACAAGUAAUCUUCAAGUGAAAUUGAUACAUUACCUUGUGCAUCUUCAUCGGUUAAAGAUACCACCCCUAGAUGAAGGAAAAGUACUUCCAGAAAAGAUGCCAUAUCUACAUAUGAGACAGAUAAGGCAAGUGAAAAUGAUACCACACUUCGGUACUUAGAAGUUUCAUGAUUACUCAAUGGCUUGGAUCUUGCAAGUCCCCAACCAAUGAGCUUCCUUCACUCGGGAACUUAGGGGAGCACUAUUUGUACCAUACUUGACCAGUCUCGAAACUACUGAGCAUCGGUCAACGUUAUACUGUCAAUGACCCAGAAGAGUUUCCCUUCAACCAGGAGACCAAUCACAGCGCGACACAUGUCAACAUUAGAAGCCAAUCAUAACACGACACGUGUCAAUGUCAGAAUGAAACUAGAAACUCUCUUCUAUAAAUAGAGAUCAUAACAACCAGAGAACAAAUGAGAGCUAGCUAUGGUUUUAACAAAAAAACAAACACUUGUUUUUUUUUUCAACUAGCAAGGAUAAUGACACUUGUCAAGCAAAAAAAACGAUAUAAGUAUAUCAAGGUCUAAAAGCUGGCUAUCAACAAAAAGGUGUCAGCAGCAUGAAAUUCACCCUUAUAAAUAGAAGUGGUUCUACAACAUUGAAAAGACCUUCAACUUAAAACACAAAAACAUUAUGCACAAAUCUUGCUCUACGCGAACCUCUCAUACUUUAAGAAAACACUAACUUCCAUUACUUCAUCAACACACCUUCAAUUUGGAUUAAGAACAUUGUGUUGACAACCAGUGACAUCUUCAAUUUGGAUUAACAGCACUGGAGCCGUAGAAACAGGUGACCGAUAAACAUCUUCAGUUUGGAGUAACAACGCUGCUUCAUUUUUGGCUGAUCACUUAUCCAAGUAUUUGUUGGUGAGGAGUCUUUAGUCUUUUUCUUGAAAAAGGUCAUCUUAUUAGCCUUUUUGGCGAAGUGAGGUGUUACUAGGUAAUCAAUGUUCGGCACAUUGAAAGUCUUAUUUGAACUUCACAGUGACUAGUAAACUUGUCUUCAAGCUCUAGAACUCAAAGGCCGAGGCGUCUUUCUUUCUUAGCCAUGAUCGCUCAUACACAAAAAUCAGCAGCGCGUUCGAGAUAGCUACCACAUCCAUCUUACUUGAACUGAGCUAGGUGGCAAGUUGGCAUGCCCGCAUUCACCAGAAGAAUGUAGUUAGCUCAUUAAUGACUUAGUCUCCACGCCAUGUAGGCUAAGUAGUUUUUAGGGUCAACAAUAUGUUCUUUCAGUAUUGGAUAAGUCAGUGUGUGAGAUGAAAAAUAUAAUUGUUUUUCUUAUUUUUAAACGAAUAUAGAGUUGUUAUUAGCACUCUAAAAUAGCGAUUUUGGCCUUCUUAAAUUGCAACUUCUUAUAAGUUUAGAAAUUUUUUUAAAUGCUAUUAAAAAGUUUCUUCUACGUAUUGUCCCUAAAAGAGAUUAUGCAUGUGAAGUUUUUGUAUGUUUAGGAGGUUAACUGCAAUUUUUAAAUGUGAACAUGACGUUGAUUGUUGAUACCUAUAAUCUAUUUUUUGUUGAUAUGUAGUUGAUAUUUGAUAUUAUUCUUGUUAAGUUUUUGUAUGUUGAGGAAGUUAAGUGCGAUUUUUAAAUGUGAACAUAUCGUUGAUUGUUGAUACCUAUAAUAUAUUUUUGUCAAUAUGUAAUUGAUAUUUUAUUUAAAAUUAAAACCCUAAUAUAGAAUGAAUGUAUGCAUGUUUAUCAAUUAUAAGAUUAGUUGAGGAUAAUGCUUGUGUUUCGUCAUGAAAAACCUUAUGGUAAAGUACAAAAAACUACUUCAACUAUUAGUGUCACGACAUUUUCAUACCUCAUGUUUUAAAAUUGACAAUGUCAUACCUCAUCUUUAGAAUUUGGUCCAAUGUCAUACCUCAUCUUACCAUACACGUCCUAAAAAGUUAUCAUGGUUAUCAUUUUACUUUACGUAAAGUAAUGAUUUAAAUGUUAUUCAUGCUCAUGCGAGAGACAUUUUUUCAUCACAUGAGCUACGUGCCUCUAAGAAUGUAUUGCUUUAGUUGUUUUCUUAUUUGCCCAUCCAAAAUUUUAAACUUUGAAAUACUAACACUCAUAUUCUUUACCAUGUAAAUCCUAAAAAGUUGUCAUGUUUUUCGUUUUCACUUUGGUAAGAGAGAGGCUUUUACCUGUUAUUGAUAAGUGCCCCCUAAGAUAUGUACUCUCUCAUACAUAGCAGUGUCUUUACCUGUCUUCUUUAACAUUACCUUCGCAAGCAUGUUAUAUUAACUUCUUUUCUUUAAUAUUACCCUCGCAAGCAUGUUCCUAACCCUUCGAGACUAUGGAUGUUGAAAUGCAUCGAAGUUUCAAAUAAUGAGAAGAUAUGUGACAUUUACUAACAUUUAACAAACAGUAUUGUAUAUAUUUACCAUGACCAUAGUACAACAUAAACUUACACCUUAAUCCAUGUGAUAAGGAGUAAUAUUUUACAAUAUAAAGCUAUCAAUCUCAUUGUUUAUUUGAACCAUCUCUCCAUAAUUGUUUCCUGUACAAAUUUGUGGCUGAUCCUGCAAUUGAAAAACCCAAAUGUGCAGUAAAAACAACCAAGAGAAAACAGAAGCUAAAAGAAAUCACACUAAAAAAAAAAAUCAAUUGAAAUUAAGCAAUCACUGUGCACUUGAUCGACCCUAAGGUGACAUACAAAUGCCAAUUGCCAAAAAAUUUAAGAAACCAUUUUGAAAUUAAGCAAACAUUAUUCUAAUAAGAAAAAAACCUCAAAUGUACAGUAUAAUUGAAAUUAACUCCAUUUGGAGGGAAUUAAAGAAUGCCAAAACCACAAUAACUUCAUAUUACAUUAAACAUUUUGACUAAUAUGUUAUAAGCACAACCAACUCAUCCAUAUUAAGAACCCAACAGAAACAUAAACCAAAUGAUGCAAUCUGCCAAUUAAUUGUUCCGUGCAUCAACUUGUGAACGAAAGGAAAGAUAUGAACAGAAAAUAAAUUCAACAAAACUGGAAAAAUGAAGAGAAGAAAUUCCACUUAUGAAAGGUGGUUAGAAAAAAAAAACCAAAAUCAAUCAAAGUAGAAGAAAUUCCACGACCGACCUGCGUAUUUAUCCUAUACAGCAUUCGUUGUCAAACUCUUUAGUCAAAGCUCUACACAUUGCUUAUAUCUGUGAGAUGAAUACGACAAACAUUUGAGGUUGAAUUAGUGAAUCUCAAAUACACUGGAAAAGAGAAAAUGCAGACCACAUCUUGAUCAACAAAAUUAGAGAAAAUGGCAGAUAAAAAAAUAGAAAGGGAGAUCGAUUAGGUACUCAUGAUUAAAGGAAGAUUAGAAAUUUCAUUAAAAUAAAAAGAAGAAUUGAAAGAAAAAUCAAAUGUAGAAGAAAAUUCCAUUAAUUGAUAAAACACUCACGAUUUGUCAGAUUCUUACAGCCUUACAGGAAGCUUUGCACUAUGCACGUUUUUUGCCUGAAGCAGCAAAAUGCCCACUCCUCACAUCAUGAUCGCCACAAUUUAAAGAAGUCGAAGUAGUACAAAGUCUUGGCAGAACAAAAUUGAAAACAUAAAGCAUAAACCCAAUAAGAGUCAUAAACUAAUGAAGAAAAAAUUUGAAAAUUUUCAAACUACUAACCCUACAAUAUUGUCUCGCCCACACAACACACAUCACAUUUAUCUCCACUGCCUGCACUGAUACAAAUGAUUUGAAACCUAAUGGCAAAAGCACGUUAAAUAAUUGGAAAAUGGAUUAAUAUAAACAAAAACUCCCCAGAGCCAAGAGUUUCCCAACAAUCAUACAUGAAAAUAGAAGGAAAAAUGAAUUUGGUUAAUGGUGGACAACCACUGGAAAGAAUGCAGAGAUCAUGGAGAAUCUGAGAUUGAAAGUUACCUACGAUAAGAAUCAGUUGAUGUAGAGGAAGAGUCUUUGUCAAUAUAUCUACCUGUCUGUUUCUCCCUUCCCAUCGUUGUCUUCUUCUUGAUUUCUGCACGACUACAAAUAAACUACAAAAAUUAAUAUGAAACUAAACUUACCCAAUGAAAUUUGAACACAAUGAAUUACUUCUCCAUUAUAGUUCAUUUCCAAAUCCUACUACUUUGAGAGGAUUUAAAAUACCCCGUUUUCUAAAAAUUUGGAAUCUCUAAUAACUGAAGAAUCACACUAUGCAAAACCCAAGUCGUUUAUUAGGACGAAGAAUCGCAAAAGCCUCAGAAUUUGAAAUCUCAUAUUUCAAUGUAAUUUCUCUAAUUGAAAACCCAACAAUAAUAAUCCAGUCGAAGUUGAUUGUAAAGACAAAAAUCGAAGGAAUUUAGGAAAAAUCACCUGAAAUCUUGUCUAAAUCGAGUGUGGAUGCCGAAGGAACUUAAAACACGAAGAAGAGGGGUCUAUGCGGAAGACAAAAAUGGGUUCGUUUCUUCCGGUGUAUGACGUGUUGUUCACUCUAGAACGUGUAGCAGAUGGCGGUUCCAUCUCCUCUAGUGUUUACAACCGUUGCGGUUCGAUGUGGUGUUCGAGAAUUCUACUCUUUCGUGGAGGGUUUUUUUUUUUUUUUUUUUUUUUUUUCGGAAAGAUAGGACACAAUGCAGUAUUUGUGGGAGGAUUAAUCCAAGGGUCAAAAUGAAUUUGAAGUGCAGGUAUUUUCAUCCCGGUGGUUGUCAAUUGUUAUAGUUAAGAAGGGUGUUUAUAUUAUUAGCAUCGGAUAAUUUUACAUUUUAUAACCAUGAUAACUUUUUAGGACGUGUAUGGUAAGAUGAGGUAUGACAUUGGACCAAAUUCUAAAGAUGAGGUAUGACAUUGUCAAUUUUAAAAGAUGAGGUAUGAAAAUGUCGUGACAUUAAUAGUUGAGAUAGUUUUUUGUACUUUACCCAAAAACUUACUUGUUCCUCUACUUACAAUUAACGAAUUUUUACCAUUCAAACAUAAUUAUUGAAACCGGUCAUUCUCUUGAUCACCUAAAGAUGCAAAAAAAUCAUUCAAUUUGGAUAUCGUUAGUCAUCCAUACGUGUUAAGCCACAAUGAACAAUUUUGGUACCAAGUAGCAUUUUCAUGAUGAAUCGUCCAUUUGUUAUAUGCAUAUGAAUGAAUAUAAGAUCUCCACAUUGAAUAAUUUUUUGCAUGUACAACCUUUAGAUUAUGAUAAAAAGAAUAGUUCUUUAGAUAUAGACCCUUGAAAUUCUUAUUCCCUAAAUAAAAACUCACCUAAUUAUAAACAUCCAAAUAAAAUCCAAAUUUGAAAAAAAUUGCCAAGUAAAAAAGUAAUUGACCUACACACACACACGUCAAAAGUAUAUGGUACUACUAUAAGUUCAAUAUAUAUUCCUAACAUAUGUAGACACACACACACGUCAAAAGUAUAUAUAGUACUACUAUAAGUUCAAUGUGUGUGUAUAUAUAUAUAUAUAUAGAUGUAAUUUACCAAUAUGUACUACUAUACGUUCAAAUAUAUAUAUAUGCACAAUACUAACAUAUAUGUUAAAAAAAUAUUAUAUGUAAUUAGUUUAUCUAUAUGUAAAUUUAUGAUUAGCAAAUAAUAUAUAUUUUGUAGGUAAAUUAAUAAUGAAUCAAAUAACAUUCUUUUAUUUUGUAGGUAACUUAUUUUUCAUAUAUUAUUACAUAUAUUUGACACAUUUUAUUAUUAUAAGACAUAUAUACAAAUAAUAGGUAAAUUAACUUCGAAUCAAAUAACCUUGCUUUAUUUUGUAAGUAAAUUAAUUUUGAAUCAAAUAGCAUUCUUUUGUUAUGUAGGUAUUUUAUUUUGUAUGUAUCAAUAUCAUAUAUAUAUAUAUAUAUAUUGUUUGUACCAUACUUAGUGCCUCCGUAUUUAGAUCUCGUAUAAAUACUCGGGGGACUUAAAUGUAAUUAUGUAAUAAGGGAAGGGGCAAAUAUGUAAUAAGUGAUGAGUCAUUAUUCUAUAAAAGGACCCCUCACUCUCCUAAUUAGGGGAGGCCAAUCUCUUAGGCCAUGGGAAGAGUUCUCUCACCCUUCGAAGCUCUCUCCCUCAUUCCUCUCACCUCUCAGAGAAAUACAAUAUCAGUGUGGAUGUAGCCUAAACCUUGGGGUGAACCACGAUACAUCUUGUAUUAUUUACAUUUCUUUCAGAUUCACGGUCGGAUUUACAUUGUUCCAAGACCCAUCCGGUUUUGUACAUCAACAUUUGGCGCCGUCUGUGGGAAACGACACGAAAAAUUAUGUCGGUUCUCUCUUAAUUUUUCACCUCCGCCGUGAAUCUGUAGAAACCCAAGAACCAACAACCCAACAUCCACACUCAGAGACACACCCAUUCAAUCUACAGAGAGGAAGAAACAAAACAUGGGUUCUCCUGCAGUGUUCGUGCAGCUCUCAAUCCUCCUAUUGAGCUGCGUCACUGUCUUCGGUAAUGUAAUUACCACUUUACUCGCCAUUCUUCCACACCACAGUGUUCAUUAUCUACAUCCAUCCUGAUCUCCUAUUCUCCCUCAAAAGAAGCACCUACAACUUGGACUCCCCUCUCCCUCCAAAGCUCUUCUCUCACCACCCUCUUCACAAUGGAUGAGACUGUUUCCAGAUGGGAUUAGGGAGAAAAAUAGACCUAGAGCCAGGAAGGUGCAGAAGAAUAAAUGGGAAAAAAUGGAGGUGCUCAAAAGAGGCGUUUCCGGAUUCGAAAUACUACGAGAAACACAUGCAUGGAGGGAAUAUUGAGCCCGAUCUGGGCCUGGGGUUUAGCCCCGGACCUGUGACUCUCGUCUCAAACUUCUUUUCCCACGGUGGCGACGACUGCAAGUCAUUCUCCUAACUGCUCGCCAGAGCCGUGAUGUCUCUAUCGCCGAGGGCACCAGGGUUCCCGCAGCUUCUAUGCGGCAGAAAACCCAUUACUCCUACGUCAUCCUUCUGCUCCAACGGCCACAGUAGCAAGAACAAACUCACCUUUAUAAAAAAUUUCGUGGCCUGCCGCACCACCAGCCUCGCCUCCUCCACCCGCGCCACUCUUCCUUCUGUGCUGGAACCUUUUGUCCCCAAAAUCAUGUCCACAGUCACAUUGUUCCAGAGAUUUGGAAACUCCUCAGUGAAAUUCACAGCUUCACAACUCUCAGCUUUCCCCGAUGAGGCGCAGUUGAGAUUCCUGUUACAGAGCUUUGGAAACUCCUCAAUGAGGUGCAGUCGAGAUUCCUAUUGUAGGGGGCUCAUUUUCCUAUCUAAGGGUAGAGCUAGGGGACUUCGUGGCCUUCACUGCAGCAGGCAACAUCCUCCUCGAGUAUGUCAUAGGCAGCGUAGCCGUUGCUCGUUCGUGGACCUCUUACUUCACCACUCUCUGCAACCGUAGCAACACCAAUGAUUUCUGCAUCGUAGCCCAUGAUUUUCCAAAGGACUACAGGUUACAGAGUUGUCUAUGGAUCAUCAGAUCCCCAACAAGGUCGCCGUCUCCUUCCUCCGCCCUGUGGUUCGAUUUUCGCCGGCAUUGAAGGAGUUAAGUGAUGCGUAUGGCACUGGAUGAGGAGAAGCUCACCCGUCGUAACCAUCUCGAUUUCCCGAUUGAGUAGGAGAGGCCGAACCCGGGUCCUUGCAUCUUCUUUACAGGGCUAUGUGAAAUCAUUUUUUUUUAGAGAAAGCAAAAGUGGAAUAAAGGUAAAAUGGAAAGAAAGAAAAUCACUAUUAUGUUUUUUUUUUACAGCUGGAGUACACCAGCUUGUGUUCAAACAGCAGAAAAAAAAGAGGAGGCAUAUAUACCAAAGCUGCUUAUGUCGGUGCAGAUAUUGUCGGCAAGGUUGAAAGAAAUAUUCCUAAGGAUGACCCAAGAAACCCAACUGUGAUAGCUGAUAAUUGCUUGCGCACUUCCUUAACUAAUACGGAAGCGUUGUCUGCCAUCUACCAAAAGAGGAAAGAGGAAAGCACUUAGAUAAGUAUAUUGACCUUUCAUCAUGUAUAUUCCCAUUUUGAAAAACCCAUCCGGAUAACAUGCAAAAGUAUCAAAGUAUGAGAGACCAUGACUGCUGACCAAACCUGCCUUCACGUGAAGUUUUCCUCCAACAACUGCACAUGCUAUCCCACUAUCCAACCAUAUUUGCAGCAGCUUUUCUGAAUGAUGUGAUUUAUUUUUCUUAUCUUUCGGAGACAUCUGUAUAAACCCCAUCAAAUGGUAAUAAAAAAAAAAGGGCAAAGCCCAAAGUAAAUGGGCUGGAAUGUUAUGUGGAGGGCGAAUGCCUAUAAGCCCAAAAUAACACCAACUAAGUGACCAAAAGUACGUCCAGUACUACAAAACAUUAUUCGGCACCCUGCCGUUAUUACCACUAACCAGGUGACCAAAAGUACGUCCAGUACUACAAAAAAUUAUUCGGCACCCCGCCGCUAUUAUCGCCAACUAGGUGAUCAAAAGUAUGCCCAGUACUCCAAAUUAUUCGGCAGCCUACCGCUAUUAUCACCAACCAGGUGAUCAAAAGUACGCCUAGUAUUUCAAAUUAUACAUGAGCAUUACUCAUGUCAAUCAUACAUAAACAUUCAUGAGCAUUACUCAUGUCAAUCAUACAUAAACAUUCAUGAGCAUCACUCAUAUCAAUCAUACAUAAAUAUUCAUGAGCAUCACUCAUGUCAACAUUCAUGAACAUCACUCAUGUCAACAUUCAUGAGCAUCACUCAUGUCAACAUCCAUGAGCAUCACUCAUGUCAACAUCCAUGAGCAUCACUCAUGUCAAUCAACAUAAACAUUCAUGAGCAUCACUCAUGUCAAUCAGCUUAAAAAGCUUCAUUUCCAAAGCUUCAGCUUCGAAAGCUUCAUUUACAAAAGCUCUAGCUUCAAAAGCUUCAUUUACAGAGCUCUAGCUUCAUUACUCAUGUCAAUCAUACAUAAACAUUCAUGAGCAUUACUCAUGUCAAUCAUACAUAAACAUUCAUGAGCAUGUCAAUCAUACAUAAACAUUCAUGAGCAUCACUCAUAUCAAUCAUACAUAAACAUUCAUGAGCAUCACUCAUGUCAACAUUCAUGAGCAUCACUCAUGUCAACAUCCAUGAGCAUCACUCAUGUCAACAUCCAUGAGCAUCACUCAUGUCAAUCAACAUAAACAUUCAUGAGCAUCACUCAUGUCAAUCAGCUUAAAAAGCUUCAUUUCCAAAGCUUCAGCUUCGAAAGCUUCAUUUACAAAAGCUCUAGCUUCAAAAGCUUCAUUUACAGAGCUCUAGCUUCAAAAGCUUAAUUGAAAAAAGAUCUAGCUUCAAAAGCUUCAUUUAUAGAGCUCCAGCUUCAAAGCUACAAAGCUUCAGUGCAGGAUAUACAAAUACCGCCUCCGAACAACUGCCACUUCGGCCCAUACAUGGAUUCAAUUUGAAGUUUCCAGCUAACAGACUCUAUUGACUGAAGACUUGGGGGACUACAUUAUGUACCAUAUAUUGGGCCUCAACUGGGCCUCAUGAAAAAUACUUGGGGGACUUAGCCCAUUAUUUACGUACUGAGGAGCGAGCCAUUAUUCUAUAAAAGGGAUUCCCUCACCAUUAUUAGAGAGCAUCGCCGCCUGCUGAGCAACCGCCUCGUCGCGAGCAUCAACUCUUAGCCCAUCACUUAUAUAUUGAGGAGCGAGCCCUUAUUCUAUAAAGGGGACUCCCUCACCUUCAAUGUCACAAGCCGAGCCAACCAAGGCAACAUAAGCCACAAGCCGAGCAACCUCGCAACAUGUGCUACUUCUAGUUAAGCAUCAUUUCAGAUUGAGCAUCGCCUCAUAUCGAGUAUCAGUCCUAGACAACAUCUAGUUACUUCGGCCUACACAUGGACUGAAUUUCAAGUCUCCAGCCAAAAGACUCUCUUGACUGAAGACCUGGGGGACUACUGUUUGUACCAUACUUAGGGCCUCCGUAUUUAGAUUUCGUAUAAAUACUCGAGGGACUUAAAUGUAAUUAUCUAAUAAAGAAAGGGACAAAUAUGUGAUAAGUGAAGAGUCCUUAUUCUAUAAAAGGACCAUUCACUCUCCUCAUUAGGGGAGGCCAAUCUCUUAGGCCAUGGGAAUAGUUCUCUCACCCUCAGAAGCUCUCUCCCUCACUCCCCUCACCUCUCAGAGAAAUACAAUAUCAGUGUGGAUGUAGCCUAAACCUUGGGGUGAACCACGAUACAUCUUGUGUUAUUUACAUUUCUUGCAGAUUCAUGGUCGGAUUUACGUUGUUCCAAGACCCCUCCGGUUUUGUGCAUCAACAUAUAUAUAUAUAUAUAUAUGGCACAUUUUAUUAUUAUAUGUAUAUAUAAUAGGUAAAUUAGUAUUAAAUAAAAUAAAUAUUGUUUUAUUAUUUAUAUGACAACCCGUCCCUAAUUUUCUAUGUAAUUUCUCCCUGAGUAUGUGAAUUGACAUUUAUGCCCUUGUUGGCAAGUGAUGUAGACGUGUUUAUUUGUUCUUAAAUUAUUUUUUUCCCUUAUCAUAAUUAAUUAGUAUUCGUUGAUACGAUCGCAUGAACGUGAGUUGGACCCGAAUUGGAUUCGUAACGAAAAAGUUACGUUACGUUAAAGUAUGUAUUUGACAAGUAAAAUUGUACACGAGCAUGUGUUAAUUUAUCAAUGUUAGAAACACUGUUUCAGAUAGAUUUUCUGGUUUGCUUUUACUGUAGGAAAUUUGUAAAAGCCCAUCCUUUGUUCUUUUUAAAUUGGACGCAUGCCUUCCUCUUUCACCCACCAAUCAAAUAUGUCCCUCACACCCUUCACCCAAUCAGUUUCUCUCCCUUUCUCUCUUUGCCCAAUUAGAAAAGUCAUACUCUCUCUCUCUCUUCUCUCUCCCUUACCGAAGCUCUCUUUCUCUGGAACAAGGAAGACCAAUGUCAAAACCUUGCAGAUCGAGCUUAAAAACCACACCAUCACACACCUCUCGUCACCACGAACUCAACCAUACCCUCAGAUCACACGUUGGUUGGGUUUUGAGUGGUCAAUGUGGAGCAACUCGAAAGCUUCAACUCUGUGAGUUCUACAUCAACGUGAUCUCGACAUUGUUCCAAGGUUUUGAAGGUUGGGGAAAGCUUCUACACAACUCCAGGGAGACCCUAGAUUAAGUUUGGAGUGAAGUUAAGGCAAGAACCCACAAUUUCAAGGAGUUGAAAUAAGGUCCGAGAGCUUCAAGCUAAUUUCAGACAAUUUCCAUCCACUUUUUGGACUUUCUAAAGGUACAAACUUGUUCUCCUCUUCAUUCCUUUCAUUUCCAUAUAAAGUGCGUUGAAAAUGGUUGAGAAAUGAAGAAGAUAUGAAAUUUUUACCAGAAAUCGACGAUUUUCCCAGUUUCUGGCGAAACCAGACGGCGGCGGACAGCAAGGCUCAUCAGAUAAGACAAGGAAUAUUCUGUCAAAGUUGACGGAAUAUUCUAACAGCGUCAGGUAAUGCCGUUAACUUUUAACGGAAUAUUCCGUCACUUUAACGUAAUAUUCCUAACUGCCGUUAAGUUCUUGUCAGACGCGUGCCUGCAUAUGGCCAUGGGUUGGAUGGCGCGUGAGGGCGCGUCCGGCCUCCAGCCGGUGAGUGGUUUUUACGUGCAGCUCCGUGACUUCGAGUAAAAUAUUUUGGUAUAUUCAAACCUUCCGUUUGAGCAAGUUAUGGGAAGUUUUUCUGUAUAUGUCCUAUUAAUUAAUUGUAAGUAGUUGUUUCGCAUAUAAGGGAGACUUACCCAGAGGACAUACGUGGACAAGGAAGAUUAGGGGGCUACGAUCCUACGACAUACUAGUGAGUGUGCAUUUUGUUUUCGUAUAUAUAUAAACUUAAUAGUUUCCUCAAAUGCUUUUAAACUUUUUUAUGCAUGUUGUGCCAUGAGUUAUAUAAUUUUUCAAAUGGUAUUAUGUGGUUGAGAUUUAUAUAUUUGAUCAUGGCAUAUUCAUAUGCGUUUUACCUACUCAUAAAUAUUAUGCAAUUGUAUAAUGCUAAGUAAUUCUACAGGACGCGCAGGUAAGUAUAGGUGAGAUUGUUAUGUCGUUUGGAAUGUUGAGUUAUGGCAUGCGUAUUUUCAUAUAGUCCAUUCAUCAUUGUUACAUCGGUGUUAAUGCUCACCCCGAGUCAGGGCAAGUCUUUCACGUGAUGUUCACCUCGCACCCCACGCUCGCCUUGGAUCCAAGUAUGUGAUAGUCCUGUCGUAAAGGUCACAUUAGGCGACUCUGACUCGUAGGUGACGCGCAUAGUGCUAGUCUUCACAUGAUCAUAGCACUAGAGCGUAUAUUAUUACACCUAGUCCUGUCAUACAGGUCACAUGAGGGGAAUCCGACUCGUGUGUUAGCCUAGAUAGAUGAGCAAUAGGUGCAGUCGUACAGGUCACAUUAGGUGACUCCAACUUACAUGUUAGUAUAGCUUGUUGAGCACAUGAUUAUAUUCAUAUUGCCAUUGAUAUAUUUUGAUGUGGCAUCUUUAUGAGUUUAUUGCUGGCAUGCAUUUGAUUUCAUACUUACUUAGUAUGAUUUUCUGGAAACUAUACUUGUUUUACAAUGAGGGGUUAGUAUAUUUGGAAAAUAAAUGGAUUUUUAAACUUUUAUUUUUGUGCCCACUCACCCUUCUAUUUUUCGCCCCUCCGGGUCUUAGUUAGUUGAUUUAUCUCUGUGGUGUAUAAGGAAUAGCUGGUGGAUUCUGACAUAUCUCCAUCUUAACGUAGGAACUUAUCUCUAGUUGUGUAAUAAGUACUUCUUUUAUUCGACUGCUUUACCCUUUGUUAUCUAUACUAUGAAUCUUAGUAGUUUAUGGGUUGUAAUCACUACUACGCACCCACUUUAUUAGUUAAUUAAUUUCUAGUUUCGGUUUUAAUUUAUUCACAAUUUUCUUUCAUCACUUGCACUUUUGGUUACAUCACCUUCACGUGACGGCCAGUACACCUUGAUUCCGGUCAGGGUGUGUCAAUGUAGGUAAAUUAUUUUGCUUGUAUUUUGCAUAUAAUGGGUUUGUUAUUAUGUAGGUAAAUUAUUUUCAUGUAUUUUACAUAUAUAGGGUAAAUUAUUAUUUUUUUAACCAAUCUAACAUUUUAAAAUUUUAAUAGUAGGUGCCCUAUUUGAAUCAAAAUGUUUUUUUUUUUGUAGGUAAAUUAUUUUGCAUGAAUUUUACAUAUAUCAGGCAUAUAUAUAUGUAUAUUUGUGUGUGUGAAAUAAUUUACCUACAUUAAUAUGUAAAAUAUAUUUUGAUUGACUUAAUUAAGCAUGUAUAAUAGCAUAUAUUAGAUGUGACAACCCGUCCCUAGUUCUACGAUUUUAUAAAUUUUAACAAUGUGAAUUUACAAAAAUGCCCUAGAGGCAAGAAUUUUGACUUCCAUUGACAAUUGUUUAGAGAGACGUAUGACUCGUUCUUUUGGCGAAUUUAAGUAGUACAUGAAGAUACGAGUGUGUGAACGUAAACAGAGCGUAAUUUGGAGCUAUAACGAAGGAGUAUUAACGUUUAAAGCCGAGGGCUUUUUAGUAAAUGUAACCUUCACUUUAGAAGGCUCCAUAUUUUCUGGAGCAAUCUGAUUGAGACAAGUGGACGGUUGUGAUGAAGAGUGGAGAGAGAGGAAUGGAUGAGAAAAAAGAAAAGGAUCUGGGAGACCAACCAGGAAAUGGAGGAAGGAAAAUAAAUAAGUGACGAAUAGGGGAAGAGGGACAGGGAGAAAGGAAGAAGGUUGUCCAAUGGGAAAAGAAGGAAAUAAGGGAAAGGGAGAGAGUAAGAAGCACCGGAUUCUCCAUCCCCGCCUGUUUCUCCUUGCGUUCUAACUGCAACCCGACGGGUUACAUGGUUUCUGAAGGAAAUAGUUGAAUUUUUCGACGAAUUGGGGUGGCCGUCGACCGCCACUUGACCUCCAUAGGCUAAAAUGGGUGCCCCGAUUCCAUAUUAGACAUCCAAUUAAAGAGUGGUUAUAUUUCCGUUAAGGGCCGCCACUUGGUUAUUAAAUGAUUCGACGAUCGGACCAUUGGAUCGUCACCAAACUUUAAUACGUAAUAAUACACAAUAUUUAAGGAUAUUAAGAAUUGACGGAUUGGGAAUUUGAUGUACGGAUCUUUCCGGAUGGGUUUUCUAAGUUUGUCAAUCUAAAUAUUGACCGCCACUUAAUUUUUGCAAUUGGUGGAGAUCCGACCAUCGGAUCAUUCCGAAACUUUAGGAUGUUGUGUUGUUCUAGAAGCUUAUUGAAAUUCUUGGGAAAUUACGGAUCAGAAAUCUGAAGUGCGGAUCUUAUGGAUCGAGUUACGUAGAGUUGUGGACUCUACCGUUGACCUUUGACCGACAGUUGACUUUUGGUCAAUAGGUUACAAAUCAUUCUAGAACAUCCUUGGGGAUGUGUUUUAUGUAAGUUACAUGUUAUAUCGAUAAGAAUUUGAGACAUGAUUUGAUAUUUGUUCUAGGCGACGAUCGUUCGUGACAUCUCGAUAUUCAUGCUAAGGAGUUGUAAUGCGGACUUCAGGUGAGUGGGUUUUUUCUUUUAUAUAGUAUAUACAUAUUUGUUAGUUUCCAUUUAUAAAUUGAAAGAGAAUUUACUACGUAUGCCUAACUUAGACUAAUGAUGAUAAGAAUUAGCAACUAAUGGAAAAUUACGAAGUGAUCAUAAAUCCUACGGGAUGCACAUGUAUGCGUAUGUUUAUUAAUGUCAUGAUUAUACCUACGGCUAUGAAUACAUUUGAGUUAUCGAAUAAGUAUCAAUUUUACCGGAUGACACAUUUUUGUGCAAGGCAUCAAUUAAGCGGUUUAACAUAAGGUAUGAAUGGUGGUAUGCUGCUUGCCCUACAUGUGCCAAACAAAUGUACAAGGAUCCAACGAGUGGUCAAUUGAUCUGUCAAAAGCAUCCAAAUCAAAUUCCAACUCCUUGGCAAUACUUCAAAUACUGUAUCAGUUCUAUUGAUCAAUCGUUGUCUCACACCGUUCUUAGAUUAAAACUUAUACUUUAUUUAGUUUUUACAUAUUUUUAAUUAAUAGUUCAUCACUCUUUAGAACAACACUAUCAAGGUUUAGCCAAUGAAUCAUAAAAUUUGUAUGAUGCAAUAAAAUCAUCGUUUUAAUAUUCUGACUACAAGAUGAUCUAAAAACUUAAUUAUAUUUGAAAAGCUCCUUUAUACAGCCAUACUUUUAUUUUUCAAGCCAAUGAUAUUAACAUUAAGCUAUAACAUAGAAAAAUAUAUAAAAAUGUAGUUUUCAACUUAUUAGACUAUUUAGGUUUUGUAAUCAAUGUUUUUUGUGUUUGAAUGAAUGUACAAAGUGUUCUUGGUCCUUGAAGAUGAAACAAAUGAAAUCAAUGCUCUCAUUAUCGGUAAAUCAGGUGAAAAAGUCUUUGGCGCACCCUACAAAGAUUUGGUUUUCAAUCAAAGAUCAGCAUACCAAAAGCAAUUGCCAAGCAAGUUUCUCAGACUUAUAGGCCAAAGAAAAAAAAUUUCACCUCCGAUUUGGAACUAGAAGAAAUUUGUUGAAUUCAAAUGAUUUUCUCAUCUACAACGUUUAUGAGGACACUGCAAUCCCACCAACAACUCCACAAUCUACCAGUAGAGAAAUUGCAGUGUCUUCCACAACAGUUUCAUCUUCUACUACACCGCCUGAAACAUCUAGAGAAUCACACAAGAGAAAAAGAGGAGAGCCCUUUUUACAUGAGUUAAAAAAAGGUUAUAUUUUGCAGACCAACAUUUUUUUUUCUACGCCUCAGAUUAUUUUCAAUAUGAUCUAAAUUUAUUUUUGCAACACUUUUAAUAUGUUUGGCAUAGUGACACAGAGGAAGUCUCUGAAGCAGAUGUGCAAGAUUUUGAUCAGGUGCCAAUCAAGUUAUUGAAGAAAAAAUCUUCUCCAAUUAGCUCAAAAACAGACCCUCCAUUACAAAAGAAGAACUAGGUAACUUCCCUUUAUUCCCGUUUUUUAUAUGAUGCAACUCUAUUCAUAUACACGCUUUAUUUCAUCUUCGUUGCCAUUUAUAUUUUUUUCCCCUCUACACACUCUCUUAUUUGCAGUCAAUCUUGGAAGGAACAAACUUUUUCUGUUGUACAAAACAAUGUUAUCAUCUGUUGUUCGAAUGAGAACAAUGCUUCUCCACAUUUUUUGCAUGUGAAUAGGCCAUUGUAAGAUCGGUUCCCCAAUUUUUUGUGUGCAAGGACAAUUUAAUGUUUUCAAAUAUUUUAUCUGCAACUACUGAUGUGAAUCAAGAACUAGGAUGACUGCCAAGAGGUAAUAUCAUAUUAACCAUUUAUGUAUGUCAAUGACAAAGUGUUUGCUAAUGUUUUUUUUUUUUUUUUUUUUUGUAUAAAAUGUAUAAAUCUAGACACUGGCAUGUAACAAAUAUUUGCUACAUUAUCUUUGUAUAAAUAGUAUUAGUUUGGAUUUCUAUGCAUUUAUAUUUUUUGUGUACAAGCAUUGUUCAAACCAGAACAGUGCUUCUCCAUAUUUUUUGCAUGUGAAUAGGCCAUUGUAAGAUCAGUUCCCCAAUUUUUUGUGUACAAGGACAAUCUAAUGUUUUCAAAUCUUCUAUCUGCAAUUAUUGAUGUGAAUCAAGAACUAGGAUGACUGCCAAGGGGGAAUAUCUCUGAUUAACCAUUUAUGUAUGUCAAUGACAAAGUGUUUGCUAAUUUUUUUUUUUUUUUUUUUGUAUAAAAUGUAUAAAUCUAGACACUGGCCUGUAAAAAAUAUUCACUACAUUAUCUUUGUGUAAAUAGUAUUAGUUUGGAUUUCUAUGCAUUUAUACUUUUUAGAACAUGUUCUAUAGUUGGAUUUUCGCUCCCGCAACAACGUGCGGGCACAAUUUUCUAGUUUGGACUAAAGACCUGACUUGCUUCUUGUACGAGCCGAGCUCGAGCAAACUUAAAAACAUCCAACUCGAUAUUGAGCUCAAGCUGAUUCCAGUAUUUACUACAAUUAGUUGAUCCGCUCUUGUAACAAAUAUAUAUGACAUUUAUAUUUUAAUUAAUUGUUGUUCAUUUUACUGCCUUUUUUUUUUUUUUUUUUUCCUUCUGAUGGACAACAACUUCAUAUUCAGCAUAAGGCAACUUGCGGAUGAGAGUAAAAAGGGAAACUCUCUCAUAUCUCAUAGAUUGUUUCAAGGUAGAAUCUCAGUAAUUGGUUCUCUUAAUUUGUACUUUUUGUACUUCGGUGACCUUAUUGCAAAUUUGUACUUUUUGCACAUUUUUUUCUCCUAAUUUGUGUUUUUUUUUUUUUUUAGAUGCAUCUCCAUGGCUUUACACAAGAAAGAAAAAACAAAGAUUUAGGGAUUGUAAUUUGAAUCCCGAAUGCAAGUGAUACAUGAAGCUAGUUGCACAUGCAUAGUAUGUGCGCCGGUUGUUACUAUAUAUUUACUUUUCAAUCAUUCAGUACGACAUUAGUUAGUUCCCACCAAUGGAUACCGCACUAAUCAUGCUUAAUGGGAUACGAAUCGAUUUCAAGAUGAAAUUGGAAGUUUUAUCAAUCAAAACUGAACAAAACUUAAACUAAGCAAGUAACCCGAGAGUAUCAUGAAUGCAGAAUGUUGACUGUAUGUAACAAUUCCAGCUCAGUUUCAAUUAUAUGGUUUUAAAUGCUCACCCUUAAAUAAUGGUAUAAUUGCUUAUUGAAUGUAUAUGUGAGAAUCACAAACCAAAUGUAGAUAAUAAAUAUUUGUAGUAGAUAAUUCAACAAAGAAUAUAAAUUUUGGAAUUGCCCUAAUCACCUAAAUUUAAAAAUAGUUUAUUAAAAGAAAAAUAAUUAAACUCCCUAACAAUGUCACCAAAAAACAAAAGAACAAACUCAUUCAUAGUUGAGUGAAGAAACUUGAACAAAAUCAUGGUUAACCAUCAUAAGCAUCAAUGUAAAGCUUAGUUUCAUACCACAUGUUAGGGGCGUAACUACCAUCACAUAAGUGUAAGUCCACCUAUUUUAGAAGAGCAAAGACAAUAAGAAGAUUCUCAAGACAGUGUCAAACACUGAAGCGGAUAUGUGGUGGGCUCUGGAAGCGAGAGAGAGAAAGAGACUUAGUGUUUUCUUUUUGGUCGAAGAAAGGAUUGAGUGUCUAAAGUGAUGCAAUUUUGAGAUAGAGAAAGAGAGUCUGUGAUAGGACAGGAGUGGAAAUGGUUCGGGCCAAGUCUUCGUUUCCCAAAUUUUUAGACCUGCCCUGCCUUGCUAAUUUUGUGGACUCACCCUAUCCUGGUCCAUUCCGUGUUAAAAGUUUUGGGAUCCACCUCGUACCCAUUCCAAACCGCAUGGAUCCGUCUCGAUCCCCAUAUUCAUGACCCGUUUGCCCACCCUAUAGGUAAGCUAAGAAUUACCCUAAAUUAUUUCUACAUAAUAUUACAUUAUUAAAUCACAACAUCAAAUUCACUCUCCUAUUUCUAACACAUACAAAGAAAAAGAAUCGAAGAUACCGUUUUGGACAUAGAUGCGACAUCCUUUAGGCCUACAAAACUUAAACCUCCAAACUCCCAAGAACCAUCGCCCACCACAUCCUUUUUCCCCGAAAGCAACUCCCACCCCCCAACAUUUUUAAGGGCCCGCCCUUCCUUCUCUUUUCUUCUAUUCAAUUUCCACCAAACUCCACAUCCCUCCGCCACAUCGAAACCCAUAAAUCUCCUCAUUUCCCCCCUUUUUUAUUCCCCACCCCCUCACCCAGAAAAAGAAUCUCAACCAUGGACUCCAUCAGCUCCUGCAACCAGCGAUCGCCGUCGUUGGAUCGGUUGCUUGGCCUCUUCUCCUUCUCUCCGCCCUCGUCCGCCGUCGUCGGCGAUGAGCUCAAUGAGGUUAAGGUUUUCUGGACCAUUGAUUUCACUGAGCCCGCUGUCGACGCCCCAAACCCCCGCCUCAGUCUGACUCGCCACGUCAACUCUAGAAUACUCGCGGUCCUUCCGAAACCUGGUCAAUCAGCAUAAGUGUUGUAUCAGAAGCCGACAAUUUCGUUGUCAUCGAAGCUCAUCCCUUCAAUUCCAAGACUUUCGCCGUCCCAAUCGCAAUCCCAGUCGGUUCCAAAUUUGAGAAAGCUCCAGAGCUCAGCCCUGAUGAUGGUGCCGAUCCUGUCCCGAUCGGUGGAGAAGCACUGCAGAAAUGACAGUUUGGUUGAUGUGGUAGACGACGAGGACGGGGUAGAUGAUGAGAUGAUGCCACCGCACGAGCUGGUGGCGAGGGGGUCGGGGGUGUCAGAUAGGACGAUGUUCUCGGUGCUGGAAGAUGUGGGGAUGACGCUUAAAGGUAGGGAUUUGCGUCAGGUUAAGAAUGCGAUUUGGAGCAAGAUAGAGUUUCUUGAUUGAUCGAUCGAGAAUUUUACAAAAACGUCGAGUAUUUUUUGGUAAUUUCGAUUUCUGCUUUUGGUUGGUCAAGAAUUGUGGUGUUUUUAUAAUGCCAAGAUUAAUUGGGGGAAAUUUUUUUAUAUAUUACCAAAUUAAUUUUUUUUUUAUUUUGGAUUAUAGUUCUAUAUUUUGAUGUUGAAUUUGCUUAUGUUUUUGCCAAAUCCAUACAAAUUUAAUUUUAGUCAAUUUUUUUUAUUAACAAAUUUCUUUGGUGAACUUUAAUUUUAGCCAAUUAUUUAAAAAAAAAUUAAAUAGUCAAUUUUCUCUUACAUUAAAUUUUAAAAUUCUUCAUUCAGUUUUUUACUAAUUAAGAUUAAGAGAGAAUUGGCUAUUUAUAGAAAUUUAGGGUAAUUAGAUAUAGAUAUAAUUAGAAUUUAGGAGGAAAUUUGACUAAUUAUAAAACUUAAAGUAGUAAUUUAACUAAUUAUAAAAGUUCACGAUGAAAAUUGUUAGUUCCAUACAAGUUCGGAUAAAAAAUUGUAUGAAAAAUUGUAAAAUAUAACAUUCGAGAGAAUUAGCUAUUUAUAAAAAUUCAGAAGUACUCGAUUAAAUUUUAAGACAAAUGACUAACUAUAAAAGUCUAAUCGGCUAAAACCAAAAUUCAUAGAUAAAAUUAACAAUUCUAUACAAGUUCGGGAUAAAUAUGCCCUCAUCCAAUUCCCUCUUCUAAUAUAAGUAAAUAAUUGGUUGCAUUCUGACAUUAGCCAUAAACUUUAACAACCGUGUUCCUCUCUUUGUGAUUGAAGAGAAGUUUUUCAGUGUGACGGAAACACAAGUGGUACCAUACGUGUUUUUAUAUAAAUGGUGAAAUUUUUUUGGGCUAAUCUCGGUUUACUACCUUGAAGUUUCGUGGUUUUCAACAUUUGGUAUAUGAAGUUUUUUCUAUCCCAGAAUCAUACCUCAAGUCUUAAUUUUGGGACAGUUUCAUACAUACGUUAAGUUUUCCGUUAGAACUUCUGUUAACUGAUAACAUGGCGUCCACGUGGACAAUAACUAAGCACCACGUGUCAAUAUGGGCCCACUUCAAUAUUAAUAAAUUAUAAAAAAUACAAAAAAUAAAAGGAAAACCCACUCGUCUUCUCCCCCAACCUUUUUCCCUUCCUUCUUCCCUCUGUAACCCGCACCCUCUCCACCAGCCUUCCUUCACCACCAGUCUCCCCCAACUUUCCCCCACCUUCCUUCUUCCCUCUGUAAUUUCUUCCCCAUCCGCUUAUCUUUCUAAAAUCCCUACAAGCCUAACCCAUGUGGAUAUUUCUCCUCCUACCACAAUUUCUACCCCAUUCCCCACUCUCUCUCUCAAAUCCCUCUUUGCAACCUGCAAUCUACCGUCUCAUUUAACACACUCAAAUUAUAAUUUGUAAAACCCUAAUUUCUACCCAUAUCUCUCUCCGCUGCUUCAGAAAGGAAAAAAAAAACCUAAUUUCUAUUGGUGAAGGGACGAGAAGAAUCAGGGUUGCCGAAGAUCGAAGUUGAGGAGGCGUAGAUGCAUGUCGCAGGAGUGAAGAAAGGAAAGUGGGGGUUCCUGCACUUCAUAUUGUAGGUUGCCCAGAGAGAAAGGAGAGAAAAAGGGUGGUGAAGGAAAGUGUGGGAGGGGGCUUCACGACGGGGGUUUUGGUCUUCUACUUCUUGUUGCGGGGGUCGUUGGCGACCGAAACGAUGGCAUAGAAAACGGAAGGAAGGGGGUUGGGUACAAGUUGCAAGGGGUUAGGGGAGGUAGAAGACGGGUGAGGUUUUUUUUUUUGUGUUUUUGUAUUUUUUAAUAUUGAAGUGGGCCCAUAUUUGACACGUGGCGCUCAAUUAUUGUCCACGUGGGCACCACAUCAUCAGUUAACGAAAAACUUAACGAAUGUAUUAAACUGUUCUAAAAUUAAGACUUGAGGUAUGACUCUAGGAUGAAAAUAAACUUUAUAUACCAAAUGUUGAAAACCACGAAACUUUAGGGUGGUAAACUAAGAUUAACCCAAAAUUUAAUAUUUAAAUUAUUAACUUUUUAAUACACAUAUCUCACCAUUUAUAUAGUGACACGUAAUGUACAAUCUCGUAUUCCUGUCAUACUGAAAAAUAUUUCGUGAUUGAAGUAGCAAUUUGGCAAUAAUCCUGAGCACUCAUAGGACAAAUUGAUCGAAAUCCAACACUUUACAAACAACAAAUGAAAAUUCAACAACUGCACGAAUCAAGGAACACAAAAAAAGGUUGUUCCCACUUCAAAGUUUAUGCCAAAAGAAACAAUUAAGGGUAAUGACAAAAAACUACCUCAACUAUUGGUGUCACGACACUUUUAUACCUCAUCUUUUAAAAUUGACAAUGUCAUAUCUCAUCUUACAAAUUUGUGCCAAUGUCAGACCUCUGUCAGUUUUUGUGUUAAUUUUUCAGUUAAGUGCUGACAUGGCUAGAGACGGGACCCAUUUUUUAUUAAAAAAUUAAUUAAAUAUUUAAAAACUAAAAAUUAAAAAACUAAAAAAAUAAAAAAAAUGGCCUAAGGGAUCCGGCCUUCCCUUUCCUCCACCCGAACCAACCUUUUUUCUUUUUCUCUUCGACAGCUGCCAAACCCUCCCCCGUCCCCUCAACCUUCCUCCGUCACCCUCUCUCUCUCUUCUCUCUGGGAUACGGUCUCCCUCCUUCGUCCAUCUCCCCACUUGCACUCGUCCUUCCCUCACCACAACCUCUCAAUCCGACCCAUCCCUCCCUUGGUCCCUCCAUACCCAACCUUCCUUCACCACCCCACCAUCGCCUCUCUUCCUCCAUCUUCACCACCCCAUUGAAGAAACCAAAAAAACCAAGCCCACACCCAGAUCCCACACCAAAAAACAAAAAAAAACAAAAAAACAAAAAACCAAACCCACACCUAGAUCCCUUUCCCCUCCUACACACCCAUCACCCUCCUACACACACCCAGAUCCUUUUCCCGUCCUACACACCCAAACCCUCAAUUUCGAUAAUCAAGUUUCAGAAAAUGGACGAGGUUUGAGAAGGUGCAUCGGAAACCCAGAUCCCUUUCUCUCCUCUCUCAUUUCUCUUUCUCUCUUUCUCUCUCCAAAACGCAGACUUACAAGCCAUGGAAUGCACGAAUUCUCUCAUCCCUUACCUCAUCACCUUUCUCUCUCUUCACCUCAUCCUCCUCAUUUUCUCUCCAAUUGCUGCCGCCAAGCUCACGAACCAUCUCGGGCUCGCCAGGUCUAGCUUUCCGUCCGUGCACGUGAAUCAGUUGAUUAGAGCCUUCAAUCUCUUCAUGAGGAAGACAUCAACAUCAUCGACCCUGAUUCCUCGACAUGAACAGGGCUAGCUUGAGGAGUUGUAGGUGAAGCCAUCGUCGGUCUCUUUGGCAUCGAAGAGGGUGGAUGGUGAAGGAAGGUUGGGGGGACGGGUGGGAAGUGUUUCUGGGUUCUGAGAUUUUAAGGAUGCAGGUUACAGCCUUGUAGGGAGAGAAGAGAGAGGCGAGACAAAAAUAGAGAGGAGAGAUAAAGGUUGGGUGGGAGAGAAAGGGAUCUGGGUUUUUGAGGAAGGGGCACCCAAGUUGAUGGGUUUUUUUGGUUUUUUAUUUUUUAUUUUAUAAUAAUUAAUUAAUUUUUUUAAAUAUUUAAUUAAUUUUUUAAUAAAAAAUAGAUCCCGUCUCCAACCACGUUAGAACUUCACUGAAAAAUUAACAAAAAAACUAACUAAGGUUUGACAUUGGCACAAAUUCGUAAGAUAAAGUACGACAUUGUUAAUUUUAAAAGAUGAGGUAUAAAAGUGUCGUGAAACUAAUAAUUACGGUAGUUUUUUGUAAUUUACCCAACAAUUAAUUAAGACAAAUAAUGCAAAUUUUAGUGAGGAACUAGAUAGAUAGUGAUGAAAGGCUAGUCAGACUAGGGCUGGGCAAACGGGUCCUGAACCCGCGGGUAGGGGCGGGUAAUGCGGGUACGGGACGAGUACGGGGCGAGUACAGAUAUUGUAAAUUCAAAAGGGGGCGGGGCGGGGCGGGGCGGGUACAGAAAUGGGAAAAUACGGGCCCCCGGCCCGGACCGUUGAUUCCUACCUUGAUUUCCUACGUUGAUUUCCUACCAUUGAUUUCACCUUCUCUCUCUCUCUCUCUCUUAUUCUUGUCCGAGACUCCCAAGACUCUUAUUCUCAGACUCACUUCCUCAACUUUCCAUUCUCUCGAUCUCUCAUCCUUGAAUCUCCUUCAACCUUCCAACAUGCAAAAUCUCCUUGAAUCUCCUUUAUCGCCGCCACCAUCAUCAUCAGACCUCGAUCUAGGGUUUACACUGAGGCUUCGCCGUCGAUGAGCUAGGGUACUGCGAGGUGGGCCUGAGAAGUAGGGUUUACACUGAGGCGGUGUCGGCGAUGCUUGAAUCCGACGACAAUUGAUCCAUUUCUCUCUCAAUUUGUCUGAUUCGUUCUGUCAGAGUCCUCUCGAGUCCUCCACUCAAUUUGUCAGGACGACGCUCAUCUCUCCACCAUUCCCACCGUUUCCACCAUUGUUCCUAUCUCUCUCGCUCAUCUCUCCUAAUCCCAACUUGAUGUCUCUGUCUCCCGACUCCGGUCGUCGAAGAUGGCGUCGACGAUGACAUGAGGCUCCAGAAUUCAGAUCGGAGAUGCUCCGAGGGACCUAAGGGAUAACAGAGAUAGAAGAUGGACGAUGAUGGCGCGACGACGAUAGCGAGCUCGUCGAUGAUGGUGGGCUCCAGAUCGACGAAGAUGACGCGACAACCACCACCCACCACCCACCACCACUAUCGCCGGCGCGACAACCACCACCCACCACCACUAUCGAGGACAGUAUCAUCCUUGCGAGUUCUGGGUUCUGUUCUGUUUUUUUUUUUUCCUGUUUAUAUGUUGAUUGUUGUUUCUUUUCAAUUUUGAUGUUUUGAUCAUUGUUUGGUGGUUGGUUUUGUCUGUGUGCAUGAUUAAAGGGGUUUGAUUUGUUGUUUUUGCAUCUGGGCUUUCAUUUAUUGCUUGCUGUGCAGCUGUGCUGCUUGUUCUCGUAUGUGGUGGGGAAGACGACCUCAACGAGGUCGUCCCUUCUAUGGCUAAAAGAAAAAAUGGGUACCUGUGGACCCGCCCGAACCGGCCCGUUUUAACCGGGCCGGGUAAUGUCUGGUUCCUAUACAAGAAAAUCCAAUCCCCACCCCGUCCCGGCCCGUUUCGUUUAAGCUCCGGUUCCUACAAACUUAGGUUCGGCCCGGCUCGCCCCGGCCCGUGCCUAGCCCUAAGUCAGACAAAUCCAAAUGCCUCAAAUAAUUGAGUUCAUAAAAAUAAAUUUAAAAAAAGAAAAGAAAAGUAUUUCUCCUCUUUUCACACAUCAAAUUGAAUCAUCACUCUUGCCAAAUCCCACUUCCAAAUUAAAUUGCUAAUUUGAAGGUUUAGUGAACUAAUUACAGCAAUAACAAUAUAUAUAAAUGAUGCAAAGCAAGUCAGACAAAUCCAAAUGCCUCAAAUAAUUGAGUUCAUGAAAAAAGAUUUCCUUUUUUCACACAUCUAAUUGAAUCAUCACUCUUGCCAAAUCCCACUUCAAACUCAAACAAGUUCAUAAAAAAAAAUUGCAAAAAAAACCCAAAUAGGAUUCAAAUUUAAAAUGUUACCCACCCAAGAUCGAGACAUUUACAAAUUAACAGUUCACCAAAUGGUCCAGAAGCACCCCAAUUGACUGAAACACCCAGAAUCAAAUAGCAUGGAAACUAUCUGCCUUAGGGUUUCAAGAAAAAUGGGGAAAAAGAGCUCCAAAACCCAAAAGGAAAACAGAGCAAUGCCUCAGAAAACCCAGGUGGGAGGAGAGGAGGGUUUCAGAAGGAAAACCCUAAAGAGACCCUCCCCGAUGGAGUUUUUCACUAUUGCGCAGCUAUGACUCAAAACGCUUCCAUGGGUAAAAAGGGGAGACGAUCUUAAGGGCCACGCUUAACAAGAACAAACAAAUAUUGCAGAACAAGCAUUUAGAUUAAAAGUUGCAGAAUUUGAAUGGAAGAAACCAGAAAACCCAAAUGCCCA
rnacentral:lncRNA from 1 species